rnacentral:lncRNA from 1 species
GAGGUGAUGGUGGUGGUGGUGGUGGAGACUUGUACUUAUAAGGAUGCUUUGGUGGUGAUGGUGGUGGAGGUGGUGGGGACUUGUACUUGUAAGGGUGCUUGGGUGGUGAUGGUGGUGGAGGUGGUGGAGACUUGUACUUGUAAGGGUGCUUGGGUGGUGAUGGUGGUGGAGGUGGUGGAGACUUAUACUUGUAAACUGGAGAUGGUGGGGGUGGAGACUUGUACUUGUAAGGGUGCUUGGGUGGUGAUGGUGGUGGUGGUGGGGACUUGUACUUGUAAGGAUGCUUGGGUGGUGAUGGUGGUGGAGGUGGAGGAGACUUGUACUUGUAAGGAUGCUUGGGUGGUGAUGGUGGAGGAGGUGGUGGAGACUUAUAGUUGUAAACAGGAGUUGGUGGGGGAGGAGAUUUGUACUUGUAAGGCUUCUUGUGUGGUGGUGGUGGUGGAGAGUAGACCGGAGGAGGCGGUGGUGGAGACUUGUAAUGGUAAGGUGGUGGUGGGUACUUCUUAGGUGGUGGUGGAGGAGAAGAAUAAGUGUAAUCUGCUGAGGUUUCAAAAGGCAAAUUGAGAGACACUGCUAAAACUAAAAGAGUGAGAAAGAGAGAGGUCAUUGAUGACCCCAUUUUCCCCAUCCUUACUUCUAAAAAUGGGUUUAAUUUGGUUAUGCUCUUAGCAGCCCUCUUCACUCCCUUUAUAUAGACUUUGUUUUAAAGUUACAAUCAUGAUAAAAGUGUGAAGGUGGACCGAACCUUCAGCAGCAUUGAAAAAAGACGUUACGUUUAGGUUAUUAGCAUGGUAUGACAUAAUAAUUCUCUAUUCUCUUCCUUGUCGUUUCCCAUAAAUUUAAUUUAAAUAGUCCAUUUGCUAUAUUUAUAUUUCUGUUUCUCUAUUAAAUAUUUAUCAAAUUCAUUUCUCACUCCUUAUAGAAUAUGAAUAAUUAAUCAUUAAACUCGAUUUAGUAAAUACUUUAAAAAAUGAUUUAUCUUAUUUUUAUGCUUUAAUUAAGGCAUCAAAUCAUUAAUCCCAUUUGAUAUUAUGAAAAUUUAUCACUUAAUUGAUCAAAAUGUGAUUCUUGGCAGGAAAACAUAAUUUACUUUCCUUAAAAUGUAAUUUUUAUUGAGAGUUAUUUUUCCACUAACAAUAGAAAGUGAUUCUCUUUAUAAUUCGUGAAAAAAUUACUUUCACAUGUAAAUAAAAAUUGUUAGGAUAAAAUUAACUUUUCUUUUAUUUAUGUUAAGGUUACUAAUUAACUUAUUCAACUUUAAUAAAAGAUAAACAUAGUUGUAGCUUGUUUGUUGAUGUUAGUUUUUUGUCUUUACAACUUCAAACCAUUAUUCUAGUGUAAUUUUUUUUUCUUUCUAAAUAGUAGAUAAGUAUCUAUAUUUUAUUUUGCUAUAAGAAAAUUAUAUUUUUUAGCAUACAAAACUUAAGAUAACUUGUAGAAUCAAGUAGUUGUAUACCUAUUACUCUAGCAAUAAUAAUAUUGACAUUGUCUACUUUCAAAUUAAAAUUUCAAAUUAGUUCAUUGCCCAAUUUUCUCAUUAAAAAAAAUUAUAUAUAACAUGUCAACUUAACGAAACUUACAUGAAAUUUUGUAUGUGUUAAAAAUGAAAAAUAUGGCGGUUAUUAAAAAAGAUGUCAUACAUCUAAAUCAAACUACUAAUUUAAAAAUUAGUAUUGAGAUAAUUUCAAGCCAUAUAUGCAAUAUUUGAGUAUACUUGAACUUAUACAUACAAAUUAGUGAGGAUUAAAAUUUUGUAAAUUGUACAUCUUCACAAUCUUGCGUUAAUAUACAAUUUUUUUAAUGUAUUAAUAUAAUGUUUUAGAUCAAGACGUGAAAAAACAUAAUUCAAAUAUUUGUUAAUAGUAAAAAAUUAUUAAUAAAUAUUUAAUUCAAAAUUUAUUAAUAAUAAAAAUUAUUGAAAAAUAUUAAAUACGUUAAUAUUAUUUUUAUUUAAUAAUGAUACUUUUGUACAGUAAUCUUAUAUUCCCAAAUAAGUGUUAAAUGUGUCAAGAUUUUAAUCAAUACUUUCCGGUGAUUACCAAACGUUGUGAAGUAACUUCUUAAACAAUAAUAUUCUUAUCAAUCACAUUCCAUUAAAAUUUUAACAUAGAAAAGCACCAAAACGCCCCCUUAAAAUCGUGGUAAGUCUUGUUUGUCUAAAAUUUAAAUAUUUAUUUUAUUAUUUAAAAUAUAUUAAUUUUCUAAAAAAAAUCAUUAAUAUUUAUAUUUCUAAUUUUAAACAUUCUUUUGUUAAUUAAAUGAUAGUCUAAACGGUUAAACUCAAAUCGAAAGCAUUUUAUCUUAUAUUAGAUUAUAUGAAUCAUAUUAUGGUUGAAAGUAAAAUGUAUAAAAUCAAUACAAACAUCAAAUAUUAAACUUCCACUCAAUAGAUUUUAAAAUUUCUAAUUUUAUCACUAAUCUAUUUUAAGAUUUUUUUAAAAAAAAUCGUACUUUAGAUUAUCUAAUUUAAAAUUUUAUAAAAUUAUUAAAAAAUAUUCUUGUAAUAAAAAAAAUUUGUUUUAAAAUUUUUAAUUUUUUAUAUAACCAAUGAAUUUUUUACGUUUGUUUUAACUGGUUAUCUAAACAAAAUAAAAACUUAUUUAGUUUAAAUAAAGUGGUAAAUGUGAAAGCACCACAAAUCACAACUACAUUAGUUUUAUAAUUGGAUUAAUUUAAUCACCGGCAGAGGAAAUGUGUUAGUUCUAGCUACCAACAAUUCAUUUUAAUUCCUUUAAAAAUAUUAGAAAAAACCAAUUUGAUUUUUAAUAAUAGAUCUAAUUACUUAAAGGAACAUGGGUGAUGUGCACAUGGCAUACAAGCAUAAAAAAGAACAAAAAGAUUAAGUAUCUUUGCAAAAUAUCUCUCUCUGAAAUAAAUAAAACUUAAAAAAAAACAAUUUUAUUAUCAAAAUAAAAAGAAAAUAGUGUUUUUCUUCACAAAAAAAGAAAAGAAAAGAAAUACUAGUGUUUUUAAUUAAAAUAGAGUGAUCUGGGUAGAAUCUUUUACUUAAAUACUGACAUUGACUUUAUAAGCUAUUUUUUAUCAAAAGAAGAAAGAGAAAAGCAUCCGAUUGAAGAUGUGAAUUAUUAAGUUAAAAUUAAUCAUACAUGUAAAAUAUUAUUGUGCUUUUUUCUAGCCCUCCGAAAGACAUUAUGCUUUGAUUACAACAUUCUUCCUCAGAGAUGAGGUUUGAAGAUGAACUCGGAUGCAUUUAGAUUUUUACAAGACGAAAGUAAAUUAAAGGAUGUUAGUACUUGUAUUCCGAUACGCUUAUAAUACAGAAAGCAAGUAAUAUGUGACUGUACAUAAUGGCUAUGAGGCGAGGAUAUGAUACGAGAAGAUAGAGAUGAGAGAUUGCACUUAAGGGGUUAGCACCUCUUUUCUUUUUGUGUUUGGUCCCCAAAGCAUAUCUCUUAUUGGCUGAUGUUGCAAGGCGGUCCCAUAAGUUGGGCUAAAAGUGCUUGAUAGCUAGAAUUAAUAUUGUGGUAUAACAUAUGUCACCCCUAUAUUUGAAUAAGGUUACAAAGUGACUACUUGAAGAUUUAAAAAAGCAUGGAGAUAAUUUUGUUGCGAAAAUUAAAAGUAAGAGCUAAAUUGUUUGGCUUUAUUAGAGUAUAGACUCUGUUAGUCUAUUAUCAUUUUGUUAUAUAGGCUGGAAUAUUAUUAGUAAGCAGUUAGCAGCAGUUAGUCAUACAAGUAUAAAUUCUAUUCAUGUAUUGUUCAAAGAUAAGCUAAUAAUACCAGAAGAGAUUUAACAUGUUCAUUCUACUUUUUUUUGUUAUUCUUCAUAAUACAGUUGUUAACAUGGUCUCAGUCGCCAAAUUUCUUGGAGGUUGCUUCUAUUGUAGAUCCAUGGCCAAUUCCACUGAUUCUACCUUCGCUGGUCGUAGCAGUCCCUCAUUCUCAGUUCAUGUUUGGUUCAAUCGUUUCCUCGUCAUGGCACUGUGAAGUUAGAUGAAGGAAAUUUUGUACAAUGGCAACAGCAUAUCCAAUUGAUAAUUGAAGGAUAUGAACUCAUAAGAUUUUUAGAAGGGACGUUACCUGCUCCGCCUCGCUUUGUGUCAUCUCCGGAUGGAAACUUAGCUCUGACUCCCGAUGCAUCCCUGUUUGUUCAGCAAGAUAAGUUACUCGCUUAUUGGUUACUUUUUACGAUUAGUGCUCCUUUGUUUUCUUGUUUUACAACUGCUAAGACGGCGUGUGAGGUUUGGAGCACUGCGAAUUGCCUAUUUGCUGCUGCCACUAGAGCCAAGCUUUCGCGUAUUAAGCAUGAACUCCAGUCCAUCACGAAAGGCGUGAUGACUAUCAAAGAGUAUAUUGCUAAGAUUCAAAAUACUUGUGCGUUACUCGAGGAAUCUAGAUCAGUGGUUUUAAAGGCUGAAAAGGUAGAGAUCAUUCUUGCCGGCCUAUUGUCUGAUUAUGAUGUCGUUUUAACUCUGGCAUCGUUCUCAACUGAAACUUUUUCGUUAUAAAAGAUUGUUGAUAUGCUUCUGGAGUUCGAAAGCCAUCAGACUCAAGCGGUGAACGACGUACCUUUUCAUGCUCAUUUGGUAGAGGCCACUUCGGCGACAUCCGUGGAGGACUCCGUACGUGGUGGUCGUCCUCCUUCUGGUGCUCGUAGGCGCGACUUUCGAUCUCAGCUUCAGUGCCAGGACUAUGGUUGCUAUGGACAUUUGGUACAAUGCUGUUAUUAUCAGUUCAACCGCGACUACAGUGAUCUGUCUGUUUUGACCAUGGCGCGGGUUUCGCCUGUUCAUGCUGAUCACAAUUAGCAUAACGAUGUUUUUGGCGCAAGUGGUCUCUCGACUAGCUGGUUUUCAUCAACUUGUCCUGGUCCGGACCCGUUCGUGCCUGGACAGUAUGUCGAUUCUUUGGUGGUGACACCGGCGUAUUUCUCUUAUGGCUCAUCAUGGUGAGGGUGGCCACAUUUGCAAAACAAUGCCUCCCUUGUGCCAAGUUUGUUGAAUGUUAAGGUUUCUAACCCUUUUGCUCAUAAUUUUGACGAUGGGGCAGGCUAGGUGUUUGGGCUCGCUGUUGGACCAAGCUCAAAUUGUGGCCAAUUUGGUGGUCCUCACUUACCGCGGAGAAUGGGCCAGCACGUUAGGCCAUUUGCUAGUGUUCCUAGGCCGACUGGUUCAGGCCAAGAUUUUGGGCCAUAUGGAAUUCGUAGGCUAACCAGUGCUGGUCCUAACAUUGGACAGGGUUCACUUGGGCCAAAUGUUAAUUUUGUUAGACUUGAGGGCUCUUUUGGGCAUGGACAAGGACUUUGGCCCACCACUGGCAAUGUUUCAGUGCCAAAUAAUGGGUCAUGCGUUCCAUGGCGCACUAAACUGACGGCGCACAUUAUUGAUUGAUUUCUCACUGUGUGUUGGGUUGCCUCACAUUCUUGAUUUUCAUGUGUCUGAUAUUUUUACUACCUCUGGGUCCAAUGCUAACACGACUCCGUAUGGGUCUAAUUUUGAUAAUGAUAACUCUUACAUUCCUAUGCCUGUAGGGACCUUGUCCUGGUGUCUUAAUUCAGGGUCUAUACAUCAUGUCUAUCGAGAAGCCUCUACCUUGAACGAGUCUACGCCAUACUCAGGUACAUCUCCUCUCCUCAUGGAUGAUAUUACUCCUACAAAAAUAUCAUGUGUUGGAAACUCUAUCUUGCCUACGAAGACUAAGCUGUUUCAUCUAUCUAAUGUUUUGUGUGUGCCAAAUAUACGGAAGAAUCUGCUAUCUGUCUCUCAAUUUGCUAAUGACAAUAAUAUGGUCUUUGAAUUUCACCCGUCUUAUUGAGGACAUCCAGACUCAGGAAAUUUUGCUUCGGGGCCACACUCGUGAUGGGCUCUAUUAUUUUUCGUAGGUUACUCAUGUUCCGUCUGUCGUUGUUCCUUCUGUUCACAACACUGGGCUCCAGAGUCGCAAUGCCGGUGAUGAUGUUUUUACGUUAUGGCACUACAGACUUGGUCAUCCGUCUGCCUCGAUUGUUAAACUUGUUCUCGAUAAGUGUCAAGUUGUUUCAACUAAAAUGUACCUUGAAAAUAUUUGUAUUGCUUGUCAAAAGGGGAAGUCCCAUAAACUGUCUUUUUCAAGUUCUACUACUAAAUAUACGGAUUUGUUUGAAUUGGUUGUCUUUGACUUAUGUGGACUGGCAUCUGUUGUCUGUAGAAAUAAUCUGUAUCAUGUUUCGUUUAUCGACAUGUGUAGUUAUUUUACUUGGAUUUAUCUCAUUAAACGUAAUUCUAAGGAGGUUGAAUGUUUUCUUCAGUUUCAGAAAAUGGUCAAAACUCAGUUUGGGAAAGAUAUUAAAAAAAUUCAAAGUGAUUGGGGUGGUGAGUUUCUUGCCUUUACGUCAGUUCUGGCUAGUCAUGGGAUACUUCAUCACCUCUCCUGUCCAUAUACAUCCGAGUAGAACGAUGUAGCUGAACGAAAACAUCGACACAUUGUUGAGAUGAGUCUUAUUCUAUUGGCCAAAGCUAACCUAUCCAUGGAUUUCUGUGGUUUCGUAUUUUACAAUGCCAUUCAUCUCAUUAGUCUUCUACCGACCCUAGUUCUGAAAGGUCAGUCUCCAUAUCAGGUUCUUCAUGGUAGUGACCCUACAUAUGAUCAUUUACAAGUAUUUAAGUGUUGUUGAUUUUCGUACCUGCGUCUGUUUCUGCAACACAAGUUGGAUUUUCAUUCUCAGCCAUGCAUAUUUUUUAGGUAUAGUUCUCAACAUAAAGGCUAUCACUGCCUCACACCAAAUGGUAAGGUCAUUGUCUCUCGUCAUGUUGUGUUUGAUGAACGUUGGUUUUUCUUUUCUUCAAAUGCUGUGAACACCGUUCAGUUAAGUCCAUGUAUCUCUACAUAUGUUCCUAUUGUUCGGUCUUCAUCUUGCCGCCCCACGACAUCUUCGCUUGUUCGACCCACUGAGUCAUCGACUCUUGCUCCUAAUUGUAGUUCCACGCUGUCUGUUUCAGUUGACACUCCGGCUGAAUUAGGUUUUACUCAUGAGGUGCAUCGGCUCUCUACCUCAUCCCUUGAAUCUCGUCAAUGCGAUCCAACUACAAUUCCAUUGGCUGUUCCAUCUAUUUCUCUGGAAUACUCAUAACACUAUUACUCAGCUAGACCCAAAGCUCUGUCUGUUGAAAUUGUCAACUGUGAGUCGAUCACGAUUGAAGAGGCGCUCGCUAGUAAGGAAUGGCAAUUAGUUGUCCAAGCUGAGUUUGUUGCUAUAAUGGUUAACUCCACUUGGGAGCUUGUUCCCUUACCUCAUGGUCGAAAAGUGAUUAGGUGUAAGUGGCUUUUUAAAAUAAAAAAAUCCUGAUGGGACUAUCACUUGACGUAAGGCUCGGUUGGAAGCAAAGGGUUGUUCUCAGGUACUCAGGUGUGAUUUCAAGGAAACCUUUAGUUUGGUAGUUAAACCUGCUACUAUUAGAACCAUAUUAUCUGUUGCUAUCUCCAACGGUUGGCAAUUUGGUCAGGUAGAUGUGAACAAUGCUUUUUUAAAUGGUGAUCUUAUUGACGAAGUGUUCAUGCAGCAACCUCUAGGCUAUGUUCAGAUUGGUCAAAAUGGUGAGCCCUUGGUGUAUCAUUUGACAAAGGUGUUGUACAGAUUAAGACAAGCUCCACGUGCUUGGUUUGAUAAAUUGAAACGUUUUUUUGUUUCUAUUGGAUUUGCUUUAUCCAAAUCUGAUGUAUCCUUAUUUGUUCAAGUUAAUUCGAAUCCACUAUUUAUGUUUUAGUCUAUAUGGAUGAUAUUAUCGUUACUAGAAGUACGAUCGACGGUAUAAAUGGCUGUAUUCAAUAGUUACAUAAUGUGUUUCCCUUAAAGAUAUGGGAGAUCUUUACUACUUCUUAGGCAUUGAAGUCACUCGGUAGUCCACUGGGAGUCUCCAUUUGUGCCAACGCAAAUACAUUCGGGAUCUUCUUGACAGUAGUUUUUUAGCUAAUGCAAAGAGUGUUCACACACCGAUGGUUAGUUCUUUUACGUUGUUUAAAGAUGUGGGAGAUCGCCUCGUUGAUCCUACUGGAUAUAGAAGUCUUGUCGGUGUAUUACAAUAUGUGGUCUUGACUCUGCCUGAUAUUGCUUAUGCUAUAAAUCAUGUUUGUCAAUUCAUGCAUGCCCCUACUACAGUACAUUUGGUGGCUUUGAAAAGAAUCUUGCACUAUUUAUGUGACACUAUUAAUCAUGGGUUAAUUUUGUCUGUUCAACAUAUUGUCUUUAGUUGGCUAUGCUAAUGCCAACUGGGGACUGGAUUUUGAUGAUCGUAAAUCAACAACAAGCUAUUGUUUGUAUUUUGGGUAUACACCCAUCUCUUGGUGAUCUAAGAGACAACUCUACUGCGUGAGGCGAAGUAUUUUGGCCGCACCAUGGCUGAGGUGAAGUAUCGAAGUCUAGCAACAACUACCAGUGAUGUUACUUGGUUAGUCUCUCUACUAACAAAAUUACAGAUUCAUUCUAUAGAUCCACAUACUAUUUGGCGUGACAACUCUAAUGCAGUAGCGGUCAUUGCUAAUCCGGUCUGACACUCUAAAUUUAAACAUGCCAAGCUUGAUCUAUUUUUUGUUCGCGAAAAGGUCGCUAAUGGUUCUCUCGUUGUCGGUGAGAUUCUAGCAUGUGAUUAAGUUGCUGACAUUCUCACAAAACCACUGUUCGUCUCUACUUUUGCUAGGUUUCGUAGUCUGCUUCAAUUCUUACCUCUUGAGAAGCUGGGUGAAGCCAGGUGAAUAUUAGAGUAUAGACUCUGUUAGUCUGUUACCAUUUUGUUAUUCAGGCUGGAAUAUUGUUAGUAAGCAGUUAGUCAUAGCAGUUAGUCAUACAAUUAUAAAUUCUAUUCAUGUAUUGUUCAAAGGUAAGCUAAUAAUACCAAAAGAGAUUUAAUGUGCUCAUUCUACUUUCUUUGUUAUUCUUCAUAAUACAGUUGUUAACAUGCUUGAUAUCAUCUCUUAGAGAGAACGAGGAGAGAUAAGAGUAAGAGUAUGAGCCAACUAGGGAUAAGGCUCUACCAUAAUACCUUGGAUGCAAUUAAAGUAAGAGUAAGAGCCAACUUGUUUGGCUUGAUAGCAUCCCCUUAUAGAAAAGGCUCUACCGCAUGGCAUGAGAGCAAUAAAAGUAACACUCAAUUUCUUGGGUUGAUAGCAUCUCCUUAGGGAAAAGGGUUUACCAUGUGACAUGAAAGCAAUUAAAGUAAGAGUAAGAUCCAACUUGUUUGUCUUAAUAGCAUCAUUUAAGAGAAAUAUCCCAAUCAAUUUAUUCAAAUAUGUUAAUCAAAUAAUGCAAGUUACAAUGUUCUGUCAGUUUUUCCUUUAAUUGUAACUGGGUUAAAGUUGGUAGUUGUAACUGCUACUAAUAGAAUGGAUACGGUAGAAAUGGUUGCAAGCAACAUAAGCAAAGAUGACUUUAAUGUCUUUGUAUUGACCACGUGAGAACUAUAGAAUGCAGAGAAUAGUAUGGUGAUUGGCAACAGAAUGCUACUAACCUUGAGGAUAGUAGACAGGGAUGGAUCCACGGGGGUUGGGGGCGGUCCCCCCUUGGAAUUUUUAAAAUUUUAAAUUUUAUAUAUAAAUUAUCAUGUAUUUUAAAUUUGGUGUCCACAUUGUAUAGCAUUCACCCCCCUUUUCCAAAUUGCAUUUCAUAUCAUUUGCCCUCUUAAGCCAUAAGGUUAUACUUUAUAUUAACAAAGUAUUUUCCAUUUUUUAAUUAUAUAAAUUUAAUAAUAAUAAUAAUAAUCAAAUAUUAAUAUAUGAUUGGCAUUGAAAGACUAAACAUAAAGGUCCAGUUGAGACUUUAAAGCCAAAUUCCAUAAUUAAUUAAUUGAUUUGGCCCAUACCAGUACAUAUUAGGUUAGCGAAAUUCUUGUAUUUUGAUUUGUAUGUCUUGCUAAGGAAUUAUCUUCCUUUGGUAAGGUGUUGACACUGCCAAGAGAAAAAGAAAGGAUUUUGAUGUCGAGAUUGUGAGCAUAGAGUAAAAAAAAUACAAAUUAUCUUCCUCUUAGCUCCUUAUGGAAAAAACCUCUCGGUAAAUAUUUUUGCAUAAAUUAUGUUUUUUAUUAAUUUGACUUAGUUUUUUUCUUUUUUCCUAAUACAUUGUUGUUUAAUAUAUUCUUACAAUCAUCAGGUUUUUUGACUAAAUUAUGGUCAAUAAAAACAUCGAAUCUAUUUAAAAAAAAAGAGUGUCAGAAAGCAAUAAUGAUCAACCGGUUCCUCAACCUUCCAUUAUUAGUGAAGAAAAAUCAAAUAUCGGAUCUUCCAAAGCUCUUGAACAAAAUAUCAGGUCUUCUUAAGCCCAAGCUCCUAAAUGCGGUAUGGAGUCUUCCCCAACUCCUGAACGAGAUUGUAACAAUCCAUACCCAAUUCGAUCACCAAAUCCAAGUAGAGAGCGCCGCAACUUAAACCAUAUGAAUUGAAUAAUAAAUAUUUGAAAUUUAUUAAAGUAUCGAGUUCUUGGUGUAACCCUCAGUAUAACAAUACGAAACAAUUAAAUCAAUGAUACGCCAGGAAAAAAUGUUUUUAGGCAAAACACAUGGCGGAAGCCUUACAAAAUUUUAUAAGUUUAUAUAAAAUGUAAGAUGAGUUAAUCCCAUACAACAGUUUCAAGUGCAUCGUUGGCGGUUAAAAGAACAUUCAAAAACUAUUCGGCGUAUAUGCCAAUGAGACAAUCACGUGGAACAAGAUAUAGUAGCUUAAACACAUACAUCACUUACCACGUCAUCAUAACAUAUACUAACCAUAUAAACAAACUUAUCGAGCUGCGAACUAACAAGUUCACCCAAACAUCUAGGGUUAGCGAUAACUUAUUAGAAGAGCCCGCCAAACCCUAGAGUUCGCCAAAACCUGGAGUUCACCAAAUGGCGACUCCCAUAGAAUACGCCAAACACACAACCAAAAAUAAAUACUCUACUAAUUUACUCAUUUUAUAUUCUUAGCAUAAACAACUAUGCACCAAACAGUAACUUGAUACAUUAUCUUUCGGGCGAGUUGUUACAAUUCUCCCCCAUUUAGAAACUUUUGUCCUUGAAAUUCUUACCGGUGAAUAACUGAGGAUAUUGUUCUUUCAUCGAACUCUCUCUUUCCCAAAUGGCUUCUUUUGUAUUGUGAUUUAUCUAUAAUACAUUAACCAAAGGAAUUCUUUUACUUCUCAACUCUUUUACUUCCCUUGCUAAAAUACAAACAGGUUCUUCUUCAUAGGACAAGUUUUGCUCCACUUCCAGUGCUUUGACUUGUACCACAUAAUCUGGAUUGGAUUGAUAUUUUCUUAACAUAGAUAUAUUAAACACAUUAUGUAUAUUUGAUAACUCUGGUGGCAACACCAGUUUGUAUGCCACUGGACCAACUUAUUCCAAAAUCUCAUAUGGUUCUAUGAAAUGCAGACUUAAUUUCCCUUUUUGUUCAAACCUUAUGAUCUUCUUCCAAAGAGAAAACUUCAUAAAUGCAUUGUCACCCACUUCGAAAGAGAUUAUUUUCCUUUUUAGAUCAGCAUAAGCUUUCUGGCGAUCUUAAGUUACUUUCAGAUGAUUUCUAAUGAUAAAGACUUUCUCUUCUGUUUCUCAUACUAAAUCAAGACCAACUAUUUUCCUUUUACUGAGUCUCAUCCAAUAGGUAGGAGAUCUGCACCUUCGUCUAUACAAAGCUCCAAAUGGUAACAUUCCCAGACUGUCAUAAUAACUAUUAUUAUACGCAAACUCUAGCAAAGGAAGAUAUCUUUCUCAAUUCAUUCUAAAAUCUAUAAUACAACCUCUAAACAUGUCUUCUAGAACUUGAAAUACUCUUUCAAAUUGCUCAUCGAAUUAGGGAUGAAAGGUAGUACAGAAUCAUUAUUUCGUUCCCAACGAUUCUUGCAGUUGUCUCCAAAAUCUCAAUGUAAACAUUGGGUCUCGAUCUGAAACUAUGGAUGUUGGAAUCCCAUGAGGCGUACAACUUCAGAAACGUAGAGAUUAGCCAACUUUUCCAAUAAGUAAUUUGUGCGGACAAACAAGAUAUGGGCUAACUUAGUAAGUCGAUCUACAAUUACCUAGACUGAGUACUUCUUCGAAAGGAUGAGAGGGAGAGCCAAAACAAAAUCCAUGGUGAUCUUAUCCCACUUCCACAUAGAUAUCUCUAAAAGGUACAACUUGCCUAAGGGAACCUGAUGUUCUAUUUUAAUCUGCUGACAUGUCAAACAAAUGGAAAUGUACUUUGUUAUUUCUUUCUUCAUUUCAAGUCAGUAAUACAAACUUAUCAAAUUAUGAUACAUUUUAUGUAAAACUCUCAACCCAACUCGAAAUGUCGAGUCUGGAUCUCGGGUAUUACUAUACAUAAUACUUGGCAAAAUAUCAAAAUAGUUGACAAAUACUCUUUAUAGAAAACAUUUUCUUAUUAUUUUAACCAAAAGACUAAAUAUUUAAUAACAAGAGAAAAUAUUAAAAACAAAAAAAAAUUAUUACAUCAGACUUGGUACAACUCAUUAUAGUAUAAAAUUUUGUUAAAGACAUACUCUUGGGGCAUAACCCUAAUCUAAGCCACUUUUCCACUAUAUGCAUAAUAACCCACUUCGCCACUAUCUUGGCGUACUCCUAGCAUCGUCACUCCUAAUGCAUUCUCUACCCAUACACCUGAAAACAACAACAUUUUAAGCUUAAGAUAACUUAGUGACUUUUAUCCCAAAAAUACCUUGGCGAGUACUUUAUAUUAUUUGAAGAACAUUUGUGCGCCAUCUAUCCUUCUGAACCACCUUCUUCUGAAUUAAGUGGAUACUAUUAUAGAUUCAACUUUCACUUACACGCCAACUAUCAUACUCUUAACAAACUCACUUAUUCUAGAAUAGUUGUUCACAUAUAUUAAUCACUAAUUGAUACAUUCAUAUUUGGCGAAUACUUACGCAGAUCUGAAUACCAUCAAACUACUAAUCAAAUCAUACCUUGAUCCGAUACCAUACAAACUCAUACUGAUAAUGUACUACACAAAUUAUUCAAAUGAAUUUUCCACUACUUUGUUACAGGACCCCAGAUAAUCAUCAUAACAAUAACUCAAUUUUCAUAUGAUUUCAGAAGAAGAUAUAAUACAACCCAAAUACGGCAAAUUCCAGAUAACUCAGAUUCAACAACUGCUUAACACAUACGAACUCACAUUUAUAAUUUCUUAUGUCCCACAUAACUACGACUAUGUCUAUAUUCAACACUAACAAAUAAUCAUGACGGAUACCCUUCUUAUACAUAUAUGCAUUUCUUUUCUAGAAAUCUCUUAAGACUUACUCAAUUAUAUCACAUAUCUUAUUCAACCCUUAACUUUAGACAUAUCAUAACCCUAUCAUAUCAAUAUCUAUCACAAAAAAAAUCAGGAUUUAUCCAAAACUUACCAUAAAGGUAGAUAAUCAUAUUAUAUCAGACAAACUUAACUAAAUGUGCCACAAAGGCCAAACAAAAUAUGCCUUAAAGGCUUCAUACAAAAUCACGUGUUUACUAUCCCGACGGACUAUCACAAAAGGUGUCAUGGGUUUCUCCCACAUGGACUUAUACAUAAUUUCAUGUAUUGUGAUCUGCCAUUUUGAAUCAUACGUUAUCGAAGGAUACUCCAUAAGCAUACAUACAGACAUAUCUUGCCAUGUGUCUCAGCCACAUGGCUUAAACACACAUUCAUGUACUGUGAUAUGUCAAUCCAGUCUUACUCUUAUUAGAGCCUACACCAUGAGUGUUUUCAAAUCAUAUUAAGAUGUUGUAGGUCUCAACCUCAUAGUCUUACACUUGUUUUCAUAUCGUGACCUGCCAGUCUAGUUAGCAAUAUAAUUGCCUACCAGAGGCUUCAUAGAGGAACAUUUGCUUAGAUUCACUUACCUAGAUGAUCUGUAACACCCCUUACCCGAGACCGUUGUCAGAGUCGAGCACGAGGUAUUACUUAUCUUAUCUUACUAACUCGAAGCAUAAAAACUUGUUUUAAAAAUUAAUUUCACUAUUUAUAGCAAUUUGUCCAAUCGCGCAGCAGUUACUAAAUUAAUUAUAACUCGAGAUACGGAACUUGAAAUUUAACUCCGUAAAUUUUCCCUGAAACUAGACUCAUAUAUCUUCCUACCAUAAAAAUUUUAGGAUUUUUAGUUUAUCAAAUUAGUACAGUUUAUUAGUUAAAUUCUCCCCUGUUUCACAAAUCGACUGCCCUGACCUCUUAUCACUAAAAAUAAAAUGUAUCAUUGUGGGAUUUUCGUAUAGUGCUACCGCUUGCUUCUACAGAAAAUAGACUCAAUAAGGAAUCUAUACAUAUAAACUACAACUCAUAAAUAUUUUUUUAAAAUUUUUAAUGAUUUUAUAAACUCAAAACAGGGGUCACCAAAAACUGUUCUAACCCUGUCUCACCAAAAUUCACAUAUCUUAAAAUAUAAAUUCCUUUUGCUACACCGUUAUUUUUAUGUGAAAAUAGACUCAACAAGAUUUAUGUCAUUCAAUAUUUAAUUCAUUUUAUACUAUCCUAGGUGAUUUUUCAAAGUCACGUCACUGUUGCUGCCUGAAUUCUGUUUCUUUGCAAAAUUUUACCCUUUUAUGAUUUCCAUGCAUAGUUUAUCACUUAGACUCUUAUAACAACAAACACUUCCAUACUUAACCAUUUUAGCAACCAUUCAUCAUCAAAUACUUACACAUCAUUCUUUAGCAAGAUCAUAAAUACAAACAUUUAAAAUAACUAAAUCCCUUUACAUUCCAUACUCAACAUGGUUCAACAUAAAAAUACCGAGUUGCUGUGGUUGAUAGUGUGGACGAUCUCCGACUUCUUUAGGAUCCUUGAAGUAACCUUGCAAUACUAUAAGAGAAAGAGAAAUAAAAGACGUAAGCAUAAAGCUUAGUAAGUUUACUAGCAAAUAAAUAACAAUAUUUAACUAGAUAAUUAAACUCAAGUGUCUAUAUCUCUAGUUUACUAUUUAGUUAAUCUCAUUCUAGUUCUCUUGCUUGUUUACUUAGUAUACUUGUGUGCAUAACUUACUCCUCUCUUGCUGUAUAGUUGAAUAUCAAUUGAUAAUAUAAUAAGUUAUUAACUCUUAUAACUUACCUGAACUUGCCAUUUAUGUUUUUAACUGAACUUUCCUGAACAUGAUUCGUUAUUUAGCCCGUUGAGCUACAUUGGAACAAUAAGGAUACUCGGGUCUCUUCUGAUAAUAACAUGCCAAAGCCAUGUCCCAGACAUGGUCUUACAUGGGAUGUACUCAUGUCGGUGCCCAUUCCAUAUCCCAGACAUGGUCUUACGGGGGACCUCUCAUCUCGGUGCCAAUGCCAUGUCCCAGACAUGGUCUUACAUGGGACCUCUCAUCUCGGUGCCAACGCCAUGUCCCAGACAUGGUCUUACAUGGGACCUCUCAUCUCGGUGCCAACGCCAUGUCCCAGACAUGGUCUUACAUGGGACCUCUUUACCCAAAUGUCAUGACAUUCGUAUCCAGUACCAUCCUUACUAUUCAUGACAACCGAUAUAUAUAUAUACAUACUCACUAUUCACAAGGACUCGAACGAUUAUAUACUCAUCAACCACCUUAAAACAAUGUUCAUAAACUUAUCCAUUUCAUAUAAACAAAAGCAUAUAUAUUUAUAACCAAUGCAUAGAAUCACUUAAUUUAAACAGAUUCACUGGCACUUCACCUGAUAGGCUUAUAGUUUAAUUCAGUUCACCGGCACUUAGCCUACUAGGCUUGUAGCCUGAUUCAGUUCACCGGCACUUAGCCUGCUAGACGUAUAGUCCGAUUCAAUUCACCGGCAUUUAGCCUGCUAGACGUAUAGUCUGAUUCAAUUUACCGGCACUUAGCCUGCUAGACGUAUAGUCUGAAUAAUUUUACUGGUAAUAAAUCCGAUAGUAAUUUCUCCGUUGAAAUUGAAUUAUAUUCAAUUCUGCGUAACAAACAUGCACUUAAAACAUACUUGCAUAAUUCACAACAAUAAUUUCAGUCCAAAGAGCUGUAAUUCAUAUUCGAACUAUAUAUAUAUAAAUCCAUACAUAAAAAUUCAACUCAAAAUUUAUAACCUAUAUCUUUGAACCACAUAGGUACAUGAAAUUCAAACACCAAAAUCCAGCUCAAUAACUUCAUGAUUCAACCUAACAAAUUUAUGUAUAUAACUUUUUAUCUAAUUUCAAUACAAUAACUUAUACAUGUACGUAUAUACAUAUUCGAAUCUAACAUAUACAUAUAUAAUUUCAUACUUAAAUAUAUUCAAGACUUAUUCAUGAGUAUACAUAUAUAUUACAACUCACAUGUACAUAUAUAUACACAUUCAUACCUUUAACCAAGUCCAAGGCUUUAUACAUGUAUAUGCUUAUAUAUAUAUAUUCGGACCUUAUGUUUACAUAUAUAUAUUAUAUAAAUACCUUUGAUUAAAAACAAGUAUUUAUACAUAUAUAUAUUUUCGAACAUGAUACAUAUAUAUUUAUAUCAUUCAUACUUAAACAAAAUUCAAUCCAUAUACUUUCAAUUUCAGCUCACCAAAUUACUAUAGAUAUACAUGCAUAUAUACUGAUUUAAUAACCUCAAAUUGCUAAUAGACUUACCUCGGAUAUCAGCGGACACGAUCGAGUAUUCGAUUACUUUCGUUUUUCCCCGAUCCAAAUUCGUUUUCUUCGUUUUUUAUCUUAAUUAGACCUAGAGAUAGCCGAACCUUGUUGUUCUCUUUUCUUUUCUUUUCUUUUUCUUUUCUAUAUUCGGCCAAGAUGAAGAACAUGGCAUUUAAAAUUUGUUAUAUUAAACAUAUAUUAGCCUUAUUUUUAAUUUACUAUAUUAACCUUUACAUAUAUAUAACAUAUAUAAUAAGGUUACAUUAGUCCUUUGCCACCCACUAACUUACAUAGUGGACUAAUUGCAUAGUAAAACCUCUAAAUUAUAAAGACAACAAGAAUUAGGUCCUUUUAUAAUUAACCCCUAAAUUUUCAUUUUACGCGAUUAAGCCCUUUUAUUAAAUCGGACACUUAAACGACGAAAUUAAAACACGAAAAUUUCACACAAUCAAAUGCAUACAAAACAAUAUUAAUAAUAUUUUUCUAAUUCAAAUUUGUGGUCCCGAAACCAGUAUUCUGAUUAGGGUCAAAAACCGGGUUGUUACAACUCUCCCCCCUUAGGGAUUUUCGUCCCCGAAAAUCUUACCGGUGAAUAGGUUUGGAUAACGCUCUUUCAUUGUAUCUUCUAACUCCCAAGUUGCUUCUUCAACCCCAUGUUUAUGCCACAACACUUUAACUAACGGAAUUUUCUUAUUUCGUAAUUCUUUGAUCUCACGAGCCAGAAUGCUAAUCGGUUCUUCCUCAUAUGUCAUAUCAGAGUUAAUUUCAAUCUCCGUCGGACUAAUCACAUGUGAAGGAUCAGAUCGGUAUCUACGAAGCAUCGAAACAUGGAAUACGUUAUGAAUCUUUUCUAACUCAGGCAGUAACAUCAAUCUAUAAGCAACCAAUCCAACUCGCUCUAUAAUCUCAUACGGUCCAAUGAAUCUCGGACACAAUUUGCCUUUACGACCAAAUCUGAGUAUUUUCUUCCACGGUGAGACUUUUAAAAACACUUUAUCCCCGAUCUGAAAUUCUAUAUCCUUUCUUUUCAAAUUCGCAUAAGAUUUCUGACGAUCCGAUGCUGAUUUCAGACUGUCCCGAAUCACUUUCACUUUCUGUUCGGUCUCUUUAAUCAAAUCAACCCCGUGUAUCUUAUUUUCACUGAGCUCGGUCCAAUACAGUGGUGUACGACAUUUACAACCGUACAAAGCCUCAUAAGGUGCCAUUUUGAUACUAGAUUGAAAGCUAUUAUUAUAAGCAAAUUCAAUCAAAGGUAAGUAUCGUUCCCACGUACCUUCAAACUCGAGAAUGCAACAUCUCAACAUAUCCUCAAGUAUCUGAAUGAUUCAUUCAGAUUGACCAUCUGUCUGCGGAUCGAAAGCUGUGCUAAAAUGUAGUUUCGUACCUAAAGCAUCUUGUAGUUUCUUCCAAAAUCGCGAUGUGAAUCUCAGAUCUCUGUCUGAAACAAUAGAAAUAGGUACACCAUGCAACCUCACAAUUUGUGAAAUAUACAAUUCCGCAAGUUUAUCGAGCGAAAAAUCUGUACGAAUCGAAAUAAAAUGUGUCGAUUUUGUCAACCUAUCAACAAUAACCCAGAUUGCAUCUAUCUUGCUCGGUGUCAACGGUAAAUCGGAUACAAAAUCCAUCGUGACUCGAUCCCAUUUCCAUUGAGGUAUCAUGAUCGGCUGAAGCAACCCAGAUGGUACCUGAUGCUUGGCUUUAACUUGCUGACAAAUUAAACAUUUCGAAACAAAGUCAGAAAUGUCUCGUUUCAUACCUUGCCACCAAUAGUGCUGUUUCAGAUCGUUAUACAUUUUCGUGCUACCCGGAUGAACAGAAAAUCGACUACUAUGAGCUUCCUUCAAAAUCAUCUAAAUUAACUCUGAUUUUUUCGGAACACAUAAUCGGUUUCUAAAUCUCAAACAAUCCUCAGCAUCAACUAAAAACUCCGAAUCAAUAUUUAAGUCACAUUGAGCUCGUUUUGCAGUUAAAUCAUUAUCGACCUUUUGAGCUUCACAAAUCUGUUGUACAAAUAACGGUUUUGCUUUCAACUCAGCUACUAUCGCACCAUCAUCAGACAUAACCAUAUGUGCGUUCAUUGCACGCAAAGCAAACAGUGAUUUUCGACUUAGGGCAUCAGCAACAACAUUAGCCUUUCCCGGAUGAUAGUCAAUCACAAGCUCGUAUUCUUUCAGCAAUUCUAACCAUCGACGCUGUCUCAAAUUCAGAUAUUUCUGAGUCAUCAAAUAUUUCAGGCUUUUGGGAUCGGAAUAAACAUGACAUCUUUCACCAAACAGAUAGUGACGCCAUAUUUUUAACGCAAAUACAAUAGCGGCCAAUUCCAGAUCAUGUGUCGGAUAGUUUUUUUCAUGCGGCUUUAACUGUCUCAAGGCAUAGGCUACAACUUUGCCUUCCUACAUCAAAACACAACCCAAACCAUUUAAAGAUGCAUCACUAUAGAUAACAAACUCUUUACCCGAUUCGGGUUGAACUAAGACUGGAGCUUCGGUCAAAAGAACUUUCAACUGAUCAAAGUUUUUCUGACACUUUUCUGACCACUCGAACUUAACGUCUUUUUGUAGUAGCUUUGUCAUCGGGGUCGCAAUCAUAGAAAACCCUUUCACGAACCGUCUAUAAUAACCAGCGAGCCCCAGAAAGCUUCGAACAUCAGAGACAUUUCUCGGAGGUUUCCAAUCAAGUAUAGCUGAAAUUUUACCUGGAUCAACUCGAAUACCCGAUGCUGACACAACAUGGCCCAGAAAACUAACUUCACGUAACCAGAACUCGCAUUUACUGAACUUUGCAUACAACUGUUUAUCUCGCAAAGUUUGUAACACAAGUCUCAGAUGUUCAGUAUGCUCGGUUUCAUCACGAGAGUAGAUCAAAAUAUCAUCUAUAAAUACUACCACAAAUCGAUCCAGAUACUGUCUAAAAAUCUGAUUCAUCAAAUCCAUGAAAACAGCAGGUGCAUUAGUAAGUCCAAAAGGCAUAACCAAGAACUCAUAAUGUCCGUACCUCGUUCGGAAAGCUGUCUUUGGCACAUCAGAGUCUUUAACUCGCAACUGAUAGUAGCCUGAUCUCAGAUCUAUCUUCGAAAACACAGUAGCCCCUUUCAACUGAUCGAACAAAUCAUCAAUCCGUGGUAACGGAUACUUAUUCUUUAUAGUCACCUUAUUGAGUUGCCGGUAAUCAAUGCACAUUCUCAUUGUUCUGUCUUUCUUUUUCACAAAUAGAACUGGUGCACCCCAAGGAGAGAAACUCGGUCGUGUAAAACCUUUAUCAGUCAACUCUUGCAACUGUACUUUCAAUUCUUUUAAUUCGGUCGGUACCAUACGGUACGGAGCUAUCGAAAUUGGAGUUGUCCCUGGUACUAACUCAAUACCAAACUCUACCUCUCGAAUAGGUGGCAAACCCGGUAAUUCUUCGGGAAACACGUCUGAAUACUUACACACUACUGGCACAGAUUCAAUCUUCUUUUCGGUCACUUUACUAUCAAGAAAAAAUGCAAGGUAAUCUUCACAACCUUUUCUCACAUACUUCUGAGCCGACAUCGAGGAUAUUAUUGCUGGUAAACCAUUCAGAUCAUUAGAUUCAAUCCGAAUAAUCUCAUCAUUCUGACACCGUAGAUCAAUAGUUUUCCGUUUGCAGUUUACUAUAGCAUUAUGCAGAGUUAACCAAUCCAUACCCAGAAUUAUAUCAAACUCGUCAAAUGGUAGCAACAUCAAAUCAGCCAGAAAACAUAAAUCUCGAAUCAUCAACGGACAAUUCUUGCACACUUUGUCAACCAAAACACACCGGCCCAAGAGGUUCAAUACUUUAAUUACAAACUCAGUAGACUCAACAGGCAAAGUCUUACUGAAUACUAAAGUCUCACACACAUAAGAAUGAGUCGAACCAAGAUCAAUCAAUGCAAUAACAUUAGUAUCAUAAAGAGUGAAAGUACCAGUAAUAACAUCUGGAGAAGAAGCCUCCUCCCGAGCACGGAUGGCAUAUGCUCUGGCAAGUGCACGAGCCUCAGAUCGAACUGCCAUGUCCUUUGUUCCUCUCUGACUGCCACUUACAUUACUCAAUUGCCUCGGCGGUCUACCUCGUACAGGUACUUUACUCGGUCUGGUAUUCUACACAGUGUUUUGCUCAGCUACCAUCGGACACUCUCGAAUGAAAUGAUCCUUUGAACCGCACUUAAAGCAAGACCGAUCAUGUAAUCUGCAAUCUCCAGGAUGCCAUUUCCCACAAUGCUUGUACUCUGAUCUAUUUUGUCGAACACUACCAACGCUAGCAACUGAAGUAGCUCGUGAACUCACAGGGGGUCGAUCUCGAUCAUACUUAGGAAACCCUGCAGUAGCUUUAGAUCGGCUAUGAUCCUCUCUGGAUUUCAUUGAGGUCGACUGGAAUGAUUUACUGAAUGAUCUUUUACGAGAAUCUCGAGCUUCAUAGCCAGCUUUCCUCUUCUCUUUACUGAGCUCCUUAACUUUACAAGGUCGUUCAACAAGUACUACGAACUCUUUUAUCUCAAGUAUACCAAAUAACAGUUUAAUAUCUUCAUCCAGCCCAUCUUCAAAUCUUUUACACAUGAUAGCUUCAGUCGAAAUACAUUCUCGAGCAUAUCUACUGAGUCUCACAAAUUUCCGCUCAUAUUCUAUCACUGUCAUACGACCCUGUUUCAAUUCAAGAAAUUCCUUAUGCUUCUGAUCAAUGAAUCUUUGGCUGAUGUAUUUCUUACAGAACUCAAUCUGAAAGAAUUCCCAGGUCACUCGCUCUUUCGGAACCACCGAUACUAGUGUAUUCCACCAGUGAUAUGCAGUGUCCCGUAGCAAAGAUAUGGCACAUUUCAAGUACUCAUCAGGGGUGCAAGAUAACUCAUCAAACACUCGAAUAGUAUUAUCAAGCCAGAAUUCAGCUUGCUCAGCAUCAUCAUCAUCAGUAGCUCUGAACUCUUCGACCCCGUGUUUUCAAAUUUAGUCAACAGGAGGCUUAAGUAAUCUCAUCGGAUCACUUACUUGAGGUAUAAUAGGAAUCGAAGGUGGAUUAGUCGGGGGUGGAGUUUGUUGUGCAACCGGAUUAGUUCGGACAUAUUGAGUAAACCAGUCAUUCAUCAUUUGGUAGAAGGCUUGUUUAGCCUCUCCCUCCUGGUUACUCGAGGUCGGUCGAGAAUCUACCAGCUCUGUCCCUUGUGUGGGAGCAGGCGCUAUACUCUCAACAUCAUCGACUACGGCUGGAUCGGGAUCCAUUACUAUACGAAAACACAUUUUUAGACAUCAGCAGUCAUCGCACUAUCUUGGUAUAAAAAUAUGGCAUGUAUAGCUAGACUCAUACAUGCUACAUUAGUCCAAGAAUCGAUUAAACCGUAGCUCUGAUACCAAUAAAAUGUAACACCCCUAACCCGUAUCCGUCGCCGAAUUAGGGUUACGAGGCAUUACUGAACAAAUACAACCAUUUUUAAAACCAACUGAUCACAAACAUGAAAAUUAAAUCAUUUUCACAUAGCUAUUUAUAAUUUACAAUCAACAUCUAACCAACAUCGUACUCAAACCUAUACAUGCCAUAAGAUCAAGUUCAAAUAUUUAACAAAAUACCAAAAGGGGUCGAAAGUGUGAUAGACUAUGCUGAUGAUCCCCGAGCUCGUAACGCAUCUCCAAAAUCUAUAAAAACAAAUGGACAAAAACAAUCAAAGUAAGCUUUUAUAGCUUAGUAAGUCUAUAGCAUAUCUAAAAUACAUAUAAAAGAAUCAUAUAAUUCUUAAAAUAAAUUUAUUGAAAUCACAAUUAUCAAUUAUAAUUACUAAUCGAACAUUGCUAUAUUAAGUCAUCUUGUUUAAAUCUAAAAGGAUGUGUAUUUAUCUAAUACACAUGAACGGACAAAUGUAUAUACAUUAUAUGCAUAUAAUCAAUUUACUAACAUAAUCAUUAAUUGCAUAUACGGAUUUCUAUAGUACUUAUUGUUCGCACUUAAUCGGAUCCAUUUAAAUAUAAUUGUUCAAAUACAUAUACCAAAAGCAUAAUAAUUUUAUACUUGAUCAACUAUAAGUGCCGAAUGCACAUAUACACCUAUACCCACCUAUGCCGAAUGCAUACAUAUAUACACAUAUAUAUAUAUCCAACAAUUUCGUGACAACCGAUAUAUAUAUACAUACUCACUAUUCACAAGGACUCGAACGAUUAUAUACUCAUCAACCACCUUAAAACAAUGUUCAUAAACUUAUCCAUUUCAUAUAAACAAAAGCAUAUAUAUUUAUACCCAAUGCAUAGAAUCACUUAAUUUAAACAGAUUCACUAGCACUUCACCUGAUAGGCUUAUAGUUUAAUUCAGUUCACCGGUACUUAGCCUACUAGGCUUGUAGCCUGAUUCAGUUCACCGGCACUUAGCCUGCUAGACGUAUAGUCCGAUUCAAUUCACCGGCAUUUAGCCUGCUAGACGUAUAGUCCGAUUCAAUUUAUCGGCACUUAGCCUGCUAGAUGUAUAGUCUGAAUAAUUUUACUGGUAAUAAAUCCGAUAGUCAUUUCUCCGUUGAAAUUGAAUUAUAUUCAAUUCUGCGUAACAAACAUGCACUUAAAACAUACUUGCAUAAUUCACAACAAUAAUUUCAGUCCAAAGAGCUGUAAUUCAUAUUCGAACUAUAUAUAUAAAUCCAUACAUAAAAAUUCAGCUCAAAAUUUAUAACCUAUAUCUUUGAACCACAUAGGUACAUGAAAUUCAAACAACAAAAUCCAGCUCAAUAACUUCAUGAUUCAACCUAACAAAUUUAUGUAUAUAACUUUUUAUCUAAUUUCAAUACAAUAACUUAUACAUGUACGUAUAUACAUAUUCGAAUCUAACAUAUACAUAUAUAAUUUCAUACUUAAAUAUAUUCAAGACUUAUUCAUGAGUAUACAUAUAUAUUACAACUCACAUGUACAUAUAUAUACACAUUCAUACCUUUAACCAAGUCCAAGGCUUUAUACAUGUAUAUGCUUAUAUAUAUAUAUAUUCGGACCUUAUGUUUACAUAUAUAUUAUAUAUAAAUACCUUUGAUUAAAAACAAGUAUUUAUACAUAUAUAUAUUUUUGAACAUGAUACAUAUAUAUAUUUAUAUCAUUCAUACUUAAACAAAAUUCAAUCCAUAUACUUUCAAUUUCAGCUCACCAAAUUACUAUAGAUAUACAUGCAUAUAUACUGAUUUAAUAACCUCAAAUUGCUAAUAGACUUACCUCGGAUAUCAGCGGACACGAUCGACUAUUCGAUUACUUUCGUUUUUCCCCGAUCCAAAUUCGUUUUCUUCGUUUUUUUAUCUUAAUUAGACCUAGAGAUAGCCGAACCUUGUUGUUCUCUUUUCUUUUCUUUUCUUUUUCUUUUCUAUAUUCGGCCAAGAUGAAGAACAUGGCAUUUAAAAUUUGUUAUAUUAAACAUAUAUUAGCCUUAUUUUUAAUUUACUAUAUUAACCUUUACAUAUAUAUAUAACAUAUAUAAUAAGGUUACAUUAGUCCUUUGCCACCCACUAACUUACAUAGUGGACUAAUUGCAUAGUAAAACCUCUAAAUUAUAAAGACAACAACAAUUAGGUGCUUUUAUAAUUAACCCCUAAAUUUUCAUUUUACGCGAUUAAGCCCUUUUAUUAAAUCGGACACUUAAACGACGAAAUUAAAACACGAAAAUUUCACACAAUCAAAUGCAUACAAAAUAAUAUUAAUAAUAUUUUUCUAAUUCAAAUUUGUGGUCCCGAAACCAGUAUUCUGAUUAGGGUCAAAAACCGGGUUGUUACAACUCUCCCCCCUUAGAGAUUUUCGUCCCCGAAAAUCUUACCGGUGAAUAGGUUUGGAUAACGCUCUUUCAUUGUAUCUUCUGACUCCCAAGUUGCUUCUUCAACCCCAUGUUUAUGCCACAACACUUUAACUAACGGAAUUUUCUUAUUUCGUAAUUCUUUGAUCUCACGAGCAAGAAUGCUAAUCGGUUCUUCCUCAUAUGUCAUAUCAGAGUUAAUUUCAAUCUCCGUCGGACUAAUCACAUGUGAAGGAUCAGAUCGGUAUCUACGGAGCAUCGAAACAUGGAAUACGUUAUGAAUCUUUUCUAACUCAGGCAGUAACAUCAAUCUAUAAGCAACCAAUCCAACUCGCUCUAUAAUCUCAUACGGUCCAAUUAAUCUCGGACACAAUUUGCCUUUACGACCAAAUCUGAGUAUUUUCUUCCACGGUGAGACUUUUAACUUGCUCGGUGUCAACGGUAAAUCGGAUACAAAAUCCAUCGUGACUCGAUCCCAUUUCCAUUGAGGUAUCAUGAUCGGCUGAAGCAAUCCAGAUGGUACCUGAUGCUCGGCUUUAACUUGCUGACAAAUUAAACAUUUCGAAACAAAGUCAGAAAUGUCUCGUUUCAUACCUUGCCACCAAUAGUGCUGUUUUAGAUCGUUAUACAUUUUCGUGCUACCCGGAUGAACAGAAAAUCGAAUACUAUGAGCUUCCUUCAAAAUCAUCUGAAUUAACUCUGAAUUUUUCGGAACACAUAAUCGGUUUCUAAAUCUCAAACAAUCCUCAGCAUCAACUAAAAACUCCGAAUCAAUAUUUAAGUCACAUUGAGCUCGUUUUGCAGUUAAAUCAUUAUCAACCUUUUGAGCUUCACAAAUCUGUUGUACAAAUAACAGUUUUGCUUUCAACUCAGCUACUAUCGCACCAUCAUCAGACAUAACCAUAUGUGCGUUCAUUGCACGCAAAGCAAACAGUGAUUUUCGACUUAGGGCAUCAGCAACAACAUUAGCCUUUCCCGGAUGAUAGUCAAUCACAAGCUCGUAAUCUUUCAGCAAUUCUAACCAUCGACGCUGUCUCAAAUUCAGAUAUUUCUGAGUCAUCAAAUAUUUCAGGCUUUUGGGAUCGGAAUAAACAUGACAUCUUUCGCCAAACAGAUAGUGACGCCAUAUUUUUAACGCAAAUACAAUAGCGGCCAAUUCCAGAUCAUGCGUCGGAUAGUUUUUUUCAUGCGGCUUUAACUGUCUCAAGGCAUAGGCUACAACUUUGCCUUCCUACAUCAAAACACAACCCAAACCAUUUAAAGAUGCAUCACUAUAGAUAACAAACUCUUUACCCGAUUCGGGUUGAACUAGGACUGGAGCUUCGGUCAAAAGAACUUUCAACUGAUCAAAGUUUUUCUGACACUUUUCUGACCACUCGAACUUAACGUCUUUUUGUAGUAGCUUUGUCAUCGGGGUCGCAAUCAUAGAAAACCCUUUCACGAACCGUCUAUAAUAACCAGCGAGCCCCAGAAAGCUUCGAACAUCAGAGACAUUUCUCGGAGGUUUCCAAUCAAGUAUAGCUGAAAUUUUACUUGGAUCAACCUGAAUACCCGAUGCUGACACAACAUGGCCCAGAAAACUAACUUCACGUAACCAGAACUCGAAUUUACUGAACUUUGCAUACAACUGUUUAUCUCGCAAAGUUUGUAACACAAGUCUCAGAUGUUCAGUAUGCUCGGUUUCAUCACGAGAGUAGAUCAAAAUAUCAUCUAUAAAUACUACCACAAACAGAUCCAGAUACUGUCUAAAAAUCUGAUUCAUCAAAUCCAUGAAAACAGCAGGUGCAUUAGUAAGUCCAAAAGGCAUAACCAAGAACUCAUAAUGUCCGUACCUCGUUCGGAAAGCAGUCUUUGGCACAUCAGAGUCUUUAACUCGCAACUGAUAGUAGCCUGAUCUCAGAUCUAUCUUCGAAAACACAGUAGCCCCUUUCAACUGAUCGAACAAAUCAUCAAUCCGUGGUAACGGAUACUUAUUCUUUAUAGUCACCUUAUUGAGUUGCCGGUAAUCAAUGCACAUUCUCAUUGUUCCGUCUUUCUUUUUCACAAAUAGAACUGGUGCACCCCAAGGAGAGAAACUCGGUCGUGCAAAACCUUUAUCAGUCAACUCUUGCAACUGUACUUUCAAUUCUUUUAAUUCAGUCGGUGCCAUACGGUACGGAGCUAUCGAAAUUGGAGUUGUCCCUGGUACUAACUCAAUACCAAACUCUACCUCUCGAAUAGGUGGCAAACCCGGUAAUUCUUCGGGAAACACGUCUGAAUACUUACACACUACUGGCACAGAUUCAAUCUUCUUUUCGAUCACUUUACUAUCAAGAAAAAAUGCAAGGUAAUCUUCACAACCUUUUCUCACAUACUUUUUUGCCGACAUCGAGGAUAUUAUUGCUGGUAAACCAUUCAGAUCAUUAGAUUCAAUCCGAAUAAUCUCAUCAUUCUGACACCGUAGAUCAAUAGUUUUCCGUUUGCAGUUUACUAUAGCAUCAUGCAGAGUUAACCAAUCCAUACCCAGAAUUAUAUCAAACUCGUCAAAUGGUAGCAACAUCAAAUCAGCCAGAAAACAUAAAUCUCGAAUCAUCAACGGACAAUUCUUGCAUAUUUUGUCAACCAAAACACACCGGCCCAGGGGGUUCAAUACUUUAAUUACAAACUCAGUAGACUCAACAGGCAAAGUCUUACUGAAUACUAAAGUCUCACACACAUAAGAAUGAGUCGAACCAAGAUCAAUCAAUGCAAUAACAUUAGUAUCAUAAAGAGGGAAAGUACCAGUAAUAACAUCUGGAGAAGAAGCCUCCUCUUGAGCACGGAUGGCAUAUGCUCUGGCAAGUGCACGAGCCUCAGAUCGAACUGCCAUGUCCUUUGUUCCUCUCUGACUGCCACUUACAUUACUCAAUUGCCUCGGUGGUCUACCUCGUACUGGCACUUUACUCGGUCUGGUAUUCUGCACAGUGUUUUGCUCAGCUACCAUCGGACACUCUCGAAUGAAAUGAUCCUUUGAACCGCACUUAAAGCAAGACCGAUCAUGUAAUCUGCAAUCUCCAGGAUGCCAUUUCCCACAAUACUUGUACUCUGAUCUAUUUUGUCGAACACUACCAACGCUAGCAACUGAAGUAGCUCGUGAACUCACAGGGGGUCGAUCUCGAUCAUACUUAGGAAACCCUGCAGUAGCUUUAGAUCGGCUAUGAUCCUCUCUGGAUUUCAUUGAGGUCGACUGGAAUGAUUUACUGAAUAAUCUUUUACGAGAAUCUCGAGCUUCAUAGCCAGCUUUCCUCUUCUCUUUCCCGAGCUCCUCAACUUUACAAGGUCGUUCAACAAGUACUACGAACUCUUUUAUCUCAAGUAUACCAAAUAACAGUUUAAUAUCUUCAUCCAGCCCAUCUUCAAAUCUUUUACACAUGAUAGCUUCAGUCGAAAUACAUUCUCGAGCAUAUCUACUGAGUCUCACAAAUUUCCGCUCAUAUUCUAUCACUGUCAUACGACCCUGUUUCAAUUUAAGAAAUUACUUACGCUUCUGAUCAAUGAAUCUUUGGCUGAUGUAUUUCUUACAGAACUCAAUCUGAAAGAAUUCCCAGGUCACUCGCUCUUUCGGAACCACCGAUACUAGUGUAUUCCACCAGUGAUAUGCAGUGUCCCGUGGCAAAGAUAUGGCACAUUUCAAGUACUCAUCAGGGGUGCAAGAUAACUCAUCAAACACUCGAAUAGUAUUAUCAAGCCAGAAUUCAUCUCGCUCAGCAUCAUCAUCAUCAGUAGCUCUGAACUCUUCGACCCCGUGUUUUUGAAUUUUGUCAAUAGGAGGCUUAAGUAAUCUCAUCGGAUCACUUACUUGAGGUAUAACAGGAAUCGAAGGUGGAUUAGUCGGGGGUGGAGUUUGUUGUGCAACCGGAUUAGUUCGGACAUAUUGAGUAAACCAGUCAUUCAUCAUUUGGUAGAAGGCUUGUUUAGCCUCUCCCUCCUGGUUACUCGAGGUCGGUCGAGAAUCUACCGGCUCUGUCCCUUGUGUGGGAGCAGGCGCUAUACCCUCAACAUCAUCGACUACGGCUCGAUCGGGAUCCAUUACUAUACGAAAACACAUUUUUAGACAUCAGCAGUCAUCACACUAUCUUGGUAUAAAAAUAUGGCAUGUAUAGCUAGACUCAUACAUGCUACAUUAGUCCAAGAAUCGAUUAAACCGUAGCUCUGAUACCAAUAAAAUGUAACACCCCUAACCCGUAUCCGUCGCCGAAUUAGGGUUACGAGGCAUUACUGAACAAAUACAACCAUUUUUAAAACCAACUGAUCACAAACAUGAAAAUUAAAUCAUUUUCACAUAGCUAUUUAUAAUUUACAAUCAACAUCUAACCAACAUCGUACUCAAACCUAUACAUGCCAUAAGAUCAAGUUCAAAUAUUUAACAAAAUACCAAAAGGGGUCAAAAGUGUGAUAGACUAUGCUGAUGAUCCCCGAGCUCGUAACGCGUCUCCAAAAUCUAUAAAAACAAAUGGACAAAAACAAUCAAAGUAAGCUUUUAUAGCUUAGUAAGUCUAUAGCAUAUCUAAAAUACAUAUAAAAGAAUCAUAUAAUUCUUAAAAUAAAUUUAUUGAAAUCACAAUUAUCAAUUAUAAUUACUAAUCGAACAUUGCUAUAUUAAGUCAUCUUGUUUAAAUCUAAAAGGAUGUGUAUUUAUCUAAUACACAUGAACGGACAAAUGUAUAUACAUUAUAUGCAUAUAAUCAAUUUACUAACAUAAUCAUUAAUUGCAUAUACGGAUUUCUAUAGUACUUAUUGUUCGCACUUCAUCGGAUCCAUUUAAAUAUAAUUGUUCAAAUACAUAUACCAAAAGCAUAAUAAUUUUAUACUUGAUCAACUAUAAGUGCCGAAUGCACAUAUACACCUAUACCCACCUAUGCCGAAUGCAUACAUAUAUACACAUAUAUAUAUAUCCAACAAUUUCAUGACAACCGAUAUAUAUAUACAUACUCACUAUUCACAAGGACUCGAACGAUUAUAUACUCAUCAACCACCUUAAAACAAUGUUCAUAAACUUAUCCAUUUCAUAUAAACAAAAGCAUAUAUAUUUAUACCCAAUGCAUAGAAUCACUUAAUUUAAACAGAUUCACUGGCACUUCACCUGAUAGGCUUAUAGUUUAAUUCAGUUCACCGGCACUUAGCCUACUAGGCUUGUAGCCUGAUUCAGUUCACCGGCACUUAGCCUGCUAGACGUAUAGUCCGAUUCAAUUCACCGGCAUUUAGCCUGCUAGACGUAUAGUCCGAUUCAAUUUACCGGCACUUAGCCUGCUAGAUGUAUAGUCUGAAUAAUUUUACUGGUAAUAAAUCCGAUAGUCAUUUCUCCGUUGAAAUUGAAUUAUAUUCAAUUCUGCGUAACAAACAUGCACUUAAAACAUACUUGCAUAAUUCACAACAAUAAUUUCAGUCCAAAGAGCUGUAAUUCAUAUUCGAACUAUAUAUAUAUAAAUCCAUACAUAAAAAUUCAGCUCAAAAUUUAUAACCUAUAUCUUUGAACCACAUAGGUACAUGAAAUUCAAACAACAAAAUCCAGCUCAAUAACUUCAUGAUUCAACCUAACAAAUUUAUGUAUAUAACUUUUUAUCUAAUUUCAAUACAAUAACUUAUACAUGUACGUAUAUACAUAUUUGAAUCUAACAUAUACAUAUAUAAUUUCAUACUUAAAUAUAUUCAAGACUUAUUCAUGAGUAUACAUAUAUAUUACAACUCACAUGUACAUAUAUAUACACAUUCAUACCUUUAACCAAGUCCAAGGCUUUAUACAUGUAUAUGCUUAUAUAUAUAUAUAUUCGGACCUUAUGUUUACAUAUAUAUUAUAUAUAAAUACCUUUGAUUAAAAACAAGUAUUUAUACAUAUAUAUAUUUUCGAACAUGAUACAUACAUAUAUUUAUAUCAUUCAUACUUAAACAAAAUUCAAUCCAUAUACUUUCAAUUUCAGCUCACCAAAUUACUAUAGAUAUACAUGCAUAUAUACUGAUUUAAUAACCUCAAAUUGCUAAUAGACUUACCUCGGAUAUCAGCGGACACGAUCGACUAUUCGAUUACUUUCGUUUUUCCCCGAUCCAAAUUCGUUUUCUUCGUUUUUUUAUCUUAAUUAGACCUAGAGAUAGCCGAACCUUGUUGUUCUCUUUUCUUUUCUUUUCUUUUUCUUUUCUAUAUUCGGCCAAGAUGAAGAACAUGGCAUUUAAAAUUUGUUAUAUUAAACAUAUAUUAGCCUUAUUUUUAAUUUACUAUAUUAACCUUUACAUAUAUAUAACAUAUAUAAUAAGGUUACAUUAGUCCUUUGCCACCCACUAACUUACAUAGUGGACUAAUUGCAUAGUAAAACCUCUAAAUUAUAAAGACAACAACAAUUAGGUGCUUUUAUAAUUAACCCCUAAAUUUUCAUUUUACGCGAUUAAGCCCUUUUAUUAAAUCGGACACUUAAACAACGAAAUUAAAACACGAAAAUUUCACACAAUCAAAUGCAUACAAAAUAAUAUUAAUAAUAUUUUUCUAAUUCAAAUUUGUGGUCCCGAAACCAGUAUUCUGAUUAGGGUCAAAAACUGGGUUGUUACAACUCUCCCCCCUUAGGGAUUUUCGUCCCCGAAAAUCUUACCGGUGAAUAGGUUUGGAUAACGCUCUUUCAUUGUAUCUUCUGACUCCCAAGUUGCUUCUUCAACCCCAUGUUUAUGCCACAACACUUUAACUAACGGAAUUUUCUUAUUUCGUAAUUCUUUGAUCUCACGAGCCAGAAUGCUAAUCGGUUCUUCCUCAUAUGUCAUAUCAGAGUUAAUUUCAAUCUCCGUCGGACUAAUCACAUGUGAAGGAUCAGAUCGGUAUCCACAGAGCAUUGAAACAUGGAAUACGUUAUGAAUCUUUUCUAACUCAGGCAGUAACAUCAAUCUAUAACCAACCGAUCCAACUCGCUCUAUAAUCUCAUACGGUCCAAUGAAUCUCGGACUCAAUUUGCCUUUACGACCAAAUCUGAGUAUUUUCUUCCACGGUGAGACUUUUAAAAACACUUUAUCCCCGAUCUGAAAUUCUAUAUCCUUUCUUUUCAAAUCCGCAUAAGAUUUCUGACGAUCCGGUGCUGAUUUCAGACUGUCCCGAAUCACUUUCACUUUCUGUUCGGUCUCUUUAAUCAAAUCAACCCCGUGUAUCUUAUUUUCACUGAGCUCAGUCCAAUACAGUGGUGUACGACAUUUACGACCGUACAAAGCCUCAUAAGGUGCCAUUUUGAUACUAGAUUGAAAGCUAUUAUUAUAAGCAAAUUCAAUCAAAGGUAAGUAUCGUUCCCACGUACCUUCAAACUCGAGAAUGCAACAUCUCAACAUAUCCUCAAGUAUCUGAAUGAUUCGUUCAGAUUGACCAUCUGUCUGCGGAUGGAAAGCUGUGCUAAAAUGUAGUUUCGUACCUAAAGCUGUGCUAAAAUGCACACAAAAUAAACACACAAAAUAAUAUUAAUAAUAUUUUUCUAAUUCGGAUUUGUGGUCCCGAAACCACUAUUCCGAUUAGGGUCAAAAACCGGGUUGUUACAAUUCUGCUUCUUCUGCAUCAUCAUCUUUGGUAGCUCGAAAUUCUUCAGCCCCUUACUUCCUAAUCUUAUCAACAGGUGGUCUCUCACUGAUGACUAUACCUGCAGCUAGGGAAACUACAUGAGGAACCUGUGAAUCCUGAAGGGGUGGAGGUCUUACACCCGGAUUCAUACGAACGAACUCGGCAAACCAAUCAUUCAUGGCUUGGAAGAAGGCUUCUCUAGCUCCUCCUCCCUGUCUAACUGAUGCAGGUCUUUCACUAACGUUAACAUCUAGUGGCACCGUCCUUUCUGCGGAAGUAGGCGCAUUACUCUCUACUUCAUCUGCACCAGCUCGUUCAGGAUCCGUAACUAUAAAAUAAAAUAUUUUAAAAUCGUCAAGAGUCGUCACACUAUCAAAAUAUAUAAGUAUGGCAUGUAUAGGUAGACUUUUAUUCAUACUGCAUAUUUCUGAGAACCGAUUAAACCUGCUCUGAUACCAACAAAUGUAACACCCCUUACCCAAGACCAUUUUCGGAGUCGAGCACGAGGCAUUACUUAUCUUAUCUUACUAACUCGAAGCAUAAAAACUUAUUUUAAAAAUUAAUUUCACUAUUUACAGCAAUCUGUCCAAUCGAGCAGCAGUUACUAAAUUAAUAAUAACUCGAGCUACGGAACUUGAAAUUUAACUUCGUAAAUUUUCACUGAAACUAGACUCAUAUAUCUUCCUACCAUAAAGUUUUUAGGAUUUUUUGUUUAGCCAACUAGUACAGUUUAUUAGUCAAAUUCUCCCCUGUUUCACCAAUCGAUUGCCUUGACCUCUUAUCACUAAAAAUAAAAUUUCUCAAUGUGGGAUUUUCGUAUAGUGCUACUGCUUGCUUCUACAAAAAAUAGACUCAAUAAGGAAUCUAUAAAUAUAAACUACAGCUCCUAAAUAUUUUUUUAAAAAUUUUAAUGAUUUUCUAAACUCAAAAUAGGGGUCACCAAAAACUGUUCUAACCCUGUCUCACCAAAAUUCACAUAUCUUAAAAUAUAAAAUUCAUUUUGCUACACCGUUAUUUUUAUCUGAAAAUAGACUCAACAAGAUUUAAAUUCAUAUAUCAUUCACUCUUUAAUUCAUUUUAUACUAUCCUAGGUGAUAUUUCAAAGUCACGUCGUUGUUGCUGCCUGAAUUCUGUUUCUUUGCAAAAUUGUACCAUUUUAUGAUUUCCAUGCAUAGUUUAUCACUUACACUCUUAUAACAACAAACACUUCCAUACUUCACCAUUUUAGCAACCAUUCAUCAUCAACUACUUACAUAUCAUUCUUUAUCAAGAUCAUAAAUACAAACAUUUAAAAUAACUAAAUCCCUAUACAUUCCAUACUCAACAUGGUUCAACAUAAAAAUACCGAGUUGCUGUGGCUGAUAGUGUGGACGAUCUCCGACUUCUUUAGGAUCCUUGAAGUAACCUUGCAAUACUAUAAGAGAAAGAGAAAUAAAAGACGUAAGCAUAAAGCUUAGUAAGUUUACUAGCAAAUAAAUAACAAUAUUUAACUCAGAUAAUUAAACUCAAGUGUCUAUAUCUCUAGUUUACUCUUUAGUUAAUCCCAUUCUAGUUCUCUUGCUUGUUUACUUAGUAUACUUGUGUGCAUAACUUAAUCUUCUCUUGCUGUAUCGUUGAAUAUCAAUUGAUAAUAUAAUAAGUUCUUAACUCUUAUAACUUACCUGAACUUGCCAUUUAUGUUUUUAACUGAACUUUCCUGAACAUGAUUCGUUAUUUAGCCCGUUGAGCUACAUUGGAACAAUAAGGAUACUCGGGUCUCUUCUGAUAAUAACAUGCCAAAGCCAUGUCCCAGACAUGGUCUUACAUGGGAUGUACUCAUGUCGGUGCCCAUUCCAUGUCCCAGACAUGGUCUUACGGGGGACCUCUCAUCUCGGUGCCAAUGUCAUGUCUCAGACAUGGUCUUACAUGGGACCUCUCAUCUCGGUGCCAACACCAUGUCCCAGACAUUGUCUUACAUGGGACCUCUCAUUUCGGUGCCAACGCCAUGUCCCAGACAUGGUCUUACAUGGGACCUCUUUAUCCAAAUGUCAUGACAUUCGUAUCCAGUAUUAUCCUUAUGUAUCAACGGGACUUUUUAAUUUUAAUUCUCUAUCAUUUCAUGCUUGGAUAAUCAUCAAAUAAAUUCAUGAAAUAAAUUCAUAGUUGCUGGAAAAUAGCAGCAUUAAUAAAAAUUAUUGAAAUAUUUCAUUUAUUUACCGUAAACUUACCUUGGUACCGAAUAUAGCCCAAUUCACCAACUUAGUCUUCAACUUUAUUCUUUCCUUUGUCUAACCUCGAGUUUCAUUCUUCUUGAUCUAAAAUAGAAAAUUUAACUUAUUUAAUACUCACAUUCAUCAAAACAGCCCUCGACUCUAACUUUUCAAAAUUAUGAUUUUGCCCCUAAACUUUUACAUAAUUACAUUUUUCCCCAAGGCUCGAAAAUUCAACUUCAUCUCAUAUUCUUAUGUUUUAUGGCAUGCUGAAUAUUUUUCUCUUCUAUGACAAUAUCAAAUUCUCACUCUAACACUUACUUAUGUACAUUAGAGAUUUUUACCGAUUAUGUCAACUUACUCGUUUUUGCUUAAAAUCGGCUAACAAAAGUUGUUUAACAUAAUUUAUAGCUUCAUAUUCUAUCAUAAAACAUCAAAAUAAACACUUUUCACCUAUGGGUAUUUUUCCAAAUAUAAACCCUAGGUUAAAUUAUUGCUAGAAUAAGCUAAAUUAAGUUACCGGGACUCCAAAAACGUAAGGAACAUUAAAAACGGGGCUUGGGAUCACUUACUAUGGAGCUUGGAAGCUUGAAAACCCUAAAUAUGGCUUACCCCCUUGCUGAUUUCGUCCAAAUGAAGAAGAUGAGCAUAAUUUGUCAUCUUUUUCCCUUUUAAUUCAUUUUAAUUACUAGAUUACCAAAUUGCCCCUAACUUAAAAAUUUCCUAUUUCACUUAUCUCAUGUCCAUUUUUGUCUAAAAACUUAACCAAUGGUCUAAUUACCAUAUAAAGACCUCCAAUUUAAAGUUUCAUAACAAUUGGACACCUCUAACAUGUAGAACUCAACUUUUGCACUUUUUGCAAUUUAGUACUUUUGACUAAAUUGAGUGCCCAAACUUCAAAAUUUUCGAAUAAAAUUUUCAUGAAAUCAUUUUGUGAAAUCAUAGACCAUAAAAAUAUAAGAAAAAUAAAAUUUUCCUCAUCGGAUUUGUGAUCCCGAAACCACUGUUCCGAUAAUCUUAAAUUUGGGCCAUUACAUGAUCACCUUUUUACUAGCUCAUACAUCUCCUACAUCAGACCUUACAUGCAUGCUUACCAAACUUUAUUCUUUUUAACAAAACUUUAUACAUAUCAUCGUAGCACAUCUUUCAUCUUUACUAAACUCAUAUUUUUACCAAUUUCUGUAGACAUCAUCAUCAUCAUCCUAUAUAUAUGCUUCUUGUUUGAACAGUUCAUAUCAAAGAGUCAAGAUAGAGACCCACUUGACACUCACCUACUGCAGUUCAAAGCUCUAAACUUAACCAUCCUUCUCAAACCAGCAGUAAAAACUGCUUAUAGAACAUAGAAUCACCAUUAAAAACCCAUUUACAUACAAAUUACUAUCAUCUUAAUCACUUUUCCACUGUUAAUUUAUAAAUAAGUGUUAAGUAGUAAAUAAAUAAAAAAAUUAACUAAGUUUUCAAAAAAAAAGUCACUGUGACGAGAAGAAUGUUAAAAUUAAUUGGUGUUUGUUAACUCAUAUGUUUUUCUAAAAAUGGGUUAAGUUUUCUUCUGAAAUAAACAAAUGUUUUAAAAUGAUUGUUUUAUAAACUCCGAUCGUACUAUCCCAUCUUGGUGGCUGAUGUAAUAUCCCAAAUUCAGGUCUAACAUCUAAGUCGGGUUGGAUAGGUUACAAUAUAUAUAGAAAGAUUGAUAAAUAAUGCAAACUUGAAUACAAGCAAAGAAAGAAAUCAAUCAAUGUGAAUGACUAACAAGUUUAAAAUCAUAUAUUUGCAUUAUAUUUUGUAAAGCACAAGAUUGUCAUGGAAUUAGACAAUUUGUUUUGAUAAUGGUUAUAUUUUAUAUAGAUUUACUUUUAUGCACUUUCAUAUUGAGUUGAUCAAAAGUUUUGAAACUUUAUAGAAAAUUUGAAUGAAAGAGCAUAUUGAUAUAUAUGCUAUCUUGAGUGUUGAAUUAAGCAUUCUUUAGUAAAAGAGUGUACAUUUCGCACAUGGUAGGUGUGUUGGUUUCUUAUAUAUUAAUUAAGCACAAAUUAAAGAAAAAUAAUAUAUAUCACCAUAGUGUUGUAAUAUUUUGUAUAAUUUGUGAAAUUAUACAAGCAAAUAAGUUUACCUAUCUUGUUAAAUAAAACUCAUUAAGUUGGUUCUUAAUCUUGAAGAAUUAAAUAGGUUGGCUUCUUUAUUCAUUUUAUCCAACUACAAGUUAGAUUAAAGUUGUGGAAAUAGAAUGGUUGAAAAUUUGUGUUAAUGAGAAUUAGAGUUAUGGCCACAACUGAUGCCAACUAUUUCCUAAAAACAGGGAAUGAUGUCCAAAAACAUGCUGUAAAAUAAAAAUUUGGACAUGUUAGAAUAUGAAUUUAUUAUAUUAUAGUUUCAAUGUAAUACCCUUAUCCCAUCUCUGUUGCCGGAUUAGGAUUUCAGAGUAUUACUGAGAAAAAUAGAACAUUUAACUUUCCAACAGAAACAAUUGUACAAUUAAAUACCAACAUAUAACAAUUGAAUCUAAUCAUGGCAAAUAUUACACUUUUGGACCUUGAAUCGAGCCUAUGGGGCCCUAGAAACAGUUUAGGAACAAUCUGGGAUCAAAUCAAAACAAAUCAGAACAUUUUGAAAAAACAUAAAAAUUUAGGAAUACAGAGGUCACAGGCCAUAUGGCCAAGUCGUGUGACAUAGCCUAGAUUGUGUAAACAUCCGAAGUCAGGACACAUAGCUGUGUCCCAGCCUGUGUGUCUACUCAUGUGUAUAUUUGAAAUAGGGUCACACAGUCGUGUUGCAGACUGCCAAACGUGUGUGUAUUCAAAGUGAGGUCGCAAGACCAUGUGGCCGACCGUGCCACAAACUGUUUUGAGACACAAGGUCAUGUCUCAGACCGUGUAAAACAUGCACUUAAAAUAAUAAAUACACACGACCGUAUCUAGUGACUAUGUGUGGCACAUGGUCGUGUGGUAGCUUGUGUCUCAGGUCGUGUGCUCCAUUUUUAACCCCUAAAUCAAGCCAAUCAAGCAUCAUUUCUUAUACAACAAGACAUACCAUAUCUAACUAAUUUUACAUGGUUAAAAACACAUUCAAAUCAACAAAUACAUGCCAAAAUUUCGUUCAUCCUAUGUCUAACCAAUAUGCCAUCAAAAGGCACCUCAAUCCAUACAUCCAUUCAACUCAAGAACAAAGUUACAAUAAAUGAACAAGUUUUAUCAUUAGUUAACCAUUCAUGCCUAAAACCACUAAUCUAAUUGACCAAAAUAUGGGCAUACUCAACAAGCAACCAUUUCAAAACAUCAUCAUCAAAUCUUUAUAUACCAUUUAUGAUCAACUUAAUUAUAUUCAACACAAGUACACAUCCAAAAUCAAGCACAUCACUAAGUAUGCCAAAAUAACUUAACUAUUUACAUAUCAACAAUAAGACACCAUAUCCCAAAAUGAAAUAAAAAAGCUACCAAGAUGGUUGGAUAGUGUGUGCUCCAAAACAAUUCAUCCGGUUAGUCCACAAAACGCCAAAUCAACCAAUAUAGAUAAACAAAAAGGUAAGUUCUAAUUCUUGAUAUUCAAAUGCAAGAUCACACCACAUUAGUAUAUAUUUAUUUACAUCAUAAAUGAUACCUUCCAAAAUUCAUAACCAAUUCAUCAUCCACAAUUUCUCAAUACAACCAUUAAUAUUUAUAAACAAGAACUUCAUAGUAACAUUUAUCAUUUAGUAGUAAUAUAAUUAUCCAACAAAAUUGAACAAAUAAAUGCGUUUUAAGUCAUUUGAUACAUAGCCUGCUGAACUAUAGUAACUUGACUCGGAUACUCAUGAUACUACAUCACACCAAAGGUAUCAAUGAUGCAUAACAGAGGCACCGAAGUGCAGACAAAUGCAUGAAUGUGCAAUCAGAGGCACCGAAGUGAAAACAGAUGCACCAAAGUACAAACCCGUACGAGUGCGCAUUAAAACCCUAUUGGCAUGCUAAUCGUAUCCUAAUUGUUUACUACGUUCAACUGGGCAUUAUACUUAAAAUCAUAAUAUCAAUAAAUCCAUCAUUUAGAGGCACUUCUUAUUUCCGUACACAUACUAUAAAUAUGUAACUUUCAUUUCAAUAAUAUGCAAUAACAAUAAUUACCAUCAUCAAACAUUCAUUUUCUAUUUGUACUUAAUUGCAAAAUUUAAUAAUAUAUAAGUAACUCAUGAAAUUUCACAUAUAUACCAUUAACUAGAAAACAAUAAUAUAAUCAUAAAGUGACACACAUAUACAUAUUAUUACACUAUGAACUUACCUAAAAUCUACUUUCGAUUAAUACACAGGGACUACUCCGCUAUUUUUUCCCUUUUCUCGGUUAUUGUCUUUUUGACUCGGUUCUUGAUCUAUAUAGUAAUUAAAUUCAAUUUAUGAAAUUCACAUACAUUUAAAACUCAAUUCAAUGCAUGAUACCCUUAUGUUUUCAUUAUUUUCACAUUUUUCUUAAACUUUUACAUUUCUCACAAUUUAGUCCCUACAAAAUUUAACAAAAUUUUACAAUUUUCCAUGUUAGUUGAACUUCUUUCGAAACUAGUACAAUCCCUAAUUAUUCACAAUUCACAAAAUUUCUAUGCAAAUUUUAAUAAUUCACACAUUGAUCAUUAAACUCAAAAUUAACACAAAUUUUUUUACAAAAAUAUCCUAAUCAACAUUCAAAUAUGUACAACUACCAUUAAAAAUCAUGAACACCAAAAUUCCAUUACUAACCAAUCCCUAAAACUUUAACAUUUUUAUAAUUCCAUCCUCGGGUUUAAUAGUUUAAGUUACAACGAGUUCAAAAACGUAAAAAUUAUUAAAAACAGGUAAGAGAAACACUUACAUGCACCAAUUUGCUAACCGAAACUUCAAGCUCCAAAAAUGGAGUUUUUUUUUUCUUUUUCGGUGGGAGAGAGUUGAGAAGAUGAUGAUACCAUUUUUUUCUUUUGUUUCUUUUCUUUAAUCAAACUAAUUACUAAAUUAUCCUUUUAAUCUAAACUAAAUUAUUAACAUAGCAUGUCCGUAAUUAUCCAUUAACUAACCAUAAGGUUUAUCUAUCAACCAAGUCCAUUACUUUAGUUUUUCUUUAAAAAUCAAGCACAUUUAACAAAUAGAAGCCACUUUAGCAUCUUUUACAAUUUAGACCUUUUUACUAAAUUAACUAAACAGACAUUAAAAUUUCUUAGCCAAAUUUUAUUAUGACUCCAAUAUAACUCUAUAAGCAUAAAAUAAACAUAAAAUACUAACUCAUUUGUCGAAAUUGUGGUCCUGAAACCACCUUUUUUGAUACCACUGAAAAAUGAGAUAUUACAUUAAAUCUCUAAUUUAUGAUAAUGAAUGUGAGAGAAUAAUUUUCUUUGUUUAGAAAUACUAAUCAUUUUCUUUGUUUAGUAAUACUACAACUAGAAUGUGUUUCGACCCUAUUAUUAGAAACUAAUAAUGGAAACCCAACUUUUAAUUAGAAACCUCUAAUUUUAAAGUUUAAUAGGUAACACCCCGAAUUUUGGCCCUAGAAGAAAUAUGUUUUGAACAAGGGAACAGUUAGGAGACUGCACAUAAAUAUUUAGUUGUGCAAGGAAGUGACAUAAAUGAAUGUCUACUUCAGUGGUUGAGUGAUUUAGGAGUGUUUGGAACUGUCUGAGAAGUCAGGGAUUCAAGCAUUGCUUAUGCAAAAUUUUUAUUUUAAGUGAAUAAAAUCAUUGGAUCUAGAUAGUAAGUUCUUAAAUUAUUGUGGUUAAAAUAUGAUGCAAAAGAGUUGUUGGUCUAGUGGUAAGGGGUGUGUGGAGUGCACAUAGGGCCUAAGGUUCGAGUGGUGGCGCAUCAGAAAGGAAAUAUUUAUUUUGCUACUUGAGCUGUUUAGGUAGUGGAGUUGGACUGAAACACAACUAAGGGGAGUUUGCAUAGAAUUUGAAUGGAGUUGUUGGGGGAGUUGAGGAGAAACCGGUAGAAUAAUUUAAGGAGGGAUAAGGGGAGAGAUUUUAGGAGAAAAUCAAGGGAAGUGAGGGGAGUGAAGAAGUGUGCCGAAAGUGGACUUUGAUACUCAGGAAAUUUGGCCAGAAGGGAUACUGCUCAUUUUGGUAUACUUUUCAUUUCGGUUUUGUGUAGUGUUUCUCUCUCUUUUUGCUUUUUGGUGCCGAAUUUUUGCUAAGAUUUCGAGUACCACUCGGGUUUUUCUUUUGCUGCUUUUUUCUUUUAUCAUUUCUUUUGUUUUGGCCGAAUUUCUUUUUAGUUCCCUCCUUUGUCGAAUUCUUUUCUCUCUUCUCUUUGUUGCUUCUUUUCAUUUCUCUAUUUUUCCAAACCUUGACCGAACAGUGUUGAAGUAGUUCUGUGUUCCAUCUUUUGUCUAAAAUGCUCUUCUUCCUCUACUCCUUUUGAUCAACUAUUUGUCGAAUAUUGCCUUCUCUCCCCUUUUAUCUCUUUAAAUUUAUUUUCGGCUUGACAACAAUUCUCUAACAGUUCAAAUUUCUUGAGGAGUGAAAAAGUAUCGCAUAAUAUUAAAGUCAUCGAAACCUUUCUCUCAUCACUCGAUCAAAGGUAAGUAUGUAGGCUAGCAUUCUAAAGUGUAGGCUGAGUGCUUUCUAUGGUUUCAUAAGUUAUUAUGUUUGGAUUUAAACCACAUGAAUAAACAAUCCUAUUUAAUAAAAUCCGUUUGUAAUGCAGAUAUCCAUCAAAGAGAUUGUAGUCAACCUUCGUCAGUGAUAUAAGUAGGCUAAGUCACAUUUGACAAUCGAGGCUUUGGUGCUCGUGGAUCUUAGAGUGUUUUCACAAUCAGGUGUGUAAACACCCCACUGUAACCGUAGAACGACAAAAAGCUAAAAGGCCAAAAAUACGGUGUUUGAGACCACACAGGCGUGCGAUCUCUCAUGUGGUAAGCCCAACCCACAAAUCAUGGCCGAUAGACUGUAGAGGCCUCCAUGAACAUUUCCAUGGGCUUAGGCCGUAAUGGGCCACGUUGGGCCGAAAUGGGUCGUGUGGGUUCAAUAGGCUCGUGGGCACCAUACAGAUGAGAACCACGAUUUGUGAAAAAUACUGGACUGGGCUAUGAAGAUCUCAUAGCCGUGGAAAAAUCUGGGCUGAACAGGCCGCACAAGCGUGCGGGCCUACUUGGGCCGAGUAAUGGGCCUUAGGCCCAUUUGUACCAUUAUGACCAUUUAGGUUACCUGAGUCGCUCGAGGUAACUACGGACCUUUCGAGAGGUCGAUAUCUGCACCAAGACCCAAAAUAGGUAAAAUGAUCGAAAUACCCCUAUAGAGUAAAAUGACCGAAAUACCCCCAAAGGAUAAAAUGAUUGAAAUACCCCUAUAAGGUAAAACGAUCGAAAUACCCCCGUAGGAUAAAAUAACUAUUAUACCCCUAGAAGAUGAAAUGACUGUUAUGGCCUUAUGCUAUGUAUGACUGUUUUGCUCUAUGAUAUGUAUGACUAUGGUUGAGCAUGACAUUUUUCAUACACGUAUGAUAUUAUGUCAUGAUAUAUUGCAUGGGGAUGGAUUGUUAUAUUUGGAGGAAGUGUACUGUACUGACAAGGUUGCACGGGUCGCCCAAGACGACUGUGGACCUACUGAUGGCUAUAUGCCAUUUAUUUUACUGGCAGCUUUGCUGCAAUACUGUUUAAUGCUGCAACUGGUGCUAAUCUUGGUGUGUUUGGAUGGAUGGGUAGAUUUUAUCCCCCAUAUGGUGUGUUUGGCGGAACUGUAACACCCUUAACCUGAAUCCAUUCUGACAUUGUCUCACAAAAUUUAUUAUAUCUCAUAGUUUACAAUUUUAUUACUUACACCAUUUCUUCCAUGAGAAACUAGACUCAAUAAGUUUUAAUUCUAUAUUUUAUUCAUACUCUAAUUCGAUUUUCAUAAUUUAUGGUGAUUUUUCAAAGUGAGCCUACUGUUGUUGUCCAAAACUAUUUUAGUACAAGAUGUUUAUUACCAUGUUUAUAACACCCUUAUUUUCUUUCUCUACACUAUUUCUCAUCCCUUUCUCUUAUUUUCUCUUCACUUACAUAUUAAGAACAUAGGACCAUAUAUACAAAAAAACUUUACACUAACAUCAUUUCCAUACUUUUUCAAUAAUAUCAAACUUAAAAAUAUACUAAAAUCUUGAUGUACUUACCUUGUCAUAUUGAUUUUAAUCUUUAACUUGAUUUUCUCUCUCCUCCAGCUUCUAUUUCUUGAAUCUAACUUGAUAUUAUAGCUCCCCAUAGUCUCCUUGUAAUCUUUCUCUCUUGAUGGAUAUGGAAAUUCUUUUGAUUUCUAGAUGAAAAUAGUGAAUUUUUGGUGAAAGGACUAAAUUGUAAAGAAAGCAAAACUUUCUUUCUUCUCUUCUCCUCUUAACGUGAAUUGCAUGGAAAAGAUGGUGGGUUGGUUCCUUUUCAUCUUUCUUUCCACAUAUAUAUACUAAAUAAUAAAAUAAUAAAAUAUCAUUUAAAAAUCAAAUUAAAAUACUAAUAAACUAAUAUUUAUUUGUUUAUUUAAUCUAAAAUAUCUCCAACAUCAUCAUUAUCUUCUAGAUUUCUCUCUCUUCUAAUUGACCAUUUUGCCCUUCAUGAUAUUUUAAAAUUCCAUCCUUGAGUCAUCACUUAAUUUCGUAAAAUUUCAAUUUAGUCCCUCAAAAUUCCUCACCUUUUUUCAAUUUAGUCCUAAUACAUCCAUUUUCCUUAGUUUCUAGAUCAUUCCACCCUUAAAAUAUUUACACCAUUGGUCCUUCAAUUUUUUCAUAUUUACACUUUAACCCCUCAAUUUUUGAGUAUUUACUCUUGGGCAACAAAAUUUUUACGAUUUAAUCCUUUCUUGAGGUAAUAUGUCAUAAUAUACUUCCCAAUGUUGACAUAACUCCAAAAUUCCCUUUUUUGUCGCUUUAUUUCCUUAUUUUUUUAUAUCAAAGAUAAUAUCUUACUGUAAAAAUUUUUUUGGGGGGUAUUACAUUUCUCUCCCCCUCAAAAUAAAUUUCGUCCUCGAAAUUUCCUUAUUUUCUUUUGAUCAUGAACUUAUUUUUUCUUUAAUUCUAUAGUUCAUUUUUUUUGCAUAUAUUUACUUAGCUUAUCAUUUGUGUCUAUUCUUUAUUCUUUCAUUUCACAAUUUAUUUUUAAUUUAAUAUUUCAAACAUGAAUCAGAGAUAAACUUUUACCUUGUAACUAAAAUUAUUUACCUUUUUACCUGAGGCCCAGUGGACUAAAUAGAACACGUAGGAUAUAUGAAAUUGAUACAGAAGUGCUCUGUUAUACAUCAUUAAACAGAGAGCACUAAAGUGUUAUACGGGAGCAUAAAUGUGCUAAUAAUUGGAGAGCACUAGCGUGCUAUUAAUCAGAGAGUGCGCUAAGGUUCCUUAAUGAUAUACUACUAAUAUCCUAAUAGUUCUAAUCUCAUCUACUUGGGCAAAUUAUAUCAUGCAUGCAUACGACUUUUACACUUUGCGCAUAAUGCUUUUACAUACUUUACAAUUUAAACCUUGUACCAAUGAUUCGUAUAUUUAUACCUUCUCUACCUUUAAUACAUGUAAUAUAUUUCAAAAUUCACUAAUAAUCCAUAUAUAUCAUGUACUUCAUAUAUCAUUUUUACAUAUUAUGCAAUUUAGUCAUCAGCGCAAUAUUUCUUGUAGCAAUAUGUUUUUCUUUUAAUGACACAUAUAACAUUCAUCAUCGACAUGUAUUAUAAAACAUUUAUUCAUACUUUCAUGAGUUCCAAUUCAUCCUAAUCAAUUUUUUUUACUCAUAUACUUGAGUAUCACUUUCAACAUUAUCAGAAUUAGCUCGGUUAGGAAAACAUCUCUGUUUAUAAGUAAAACAAUUCUCAUCAGACUCGAGAGAUAUCACACUAUCACAGGUUACAUAAUGGCAUGCAUUUCUAGACUUCACAUAAGCUACGUUUGGUCCAAGAACCGACUAAAUCGUAGCUCUGAUACCAAUAAAUGUAACACUCUUAACCCGAAUCCAUUCUGACAUUGUCUCACAAAAUUUAUUAUAUCUCAUAGUUUACAAUUCUAUUACUUACACCAUUUCUUCCAUGAGAAACUAGACUCAAUAAGCUUUAAUUCUAUAUUUUAUUCAUACUCUAAUUCGAUUUUCAUAAUUUAUGGUGAUUUUUCAAAGUGAGCCUACUGUUGCUGUCCAAAACUAUUUUAGUACAAGAUGUUUAUUACCAUGUUUAUAACACCCUUAUUUUCUUUCGCUACACUAUUUCUCAUCCCUUUCUCUUAUUUUCUGUUCACUAACGUAUUAAGAACAUAGGACCAUAUAUACAAAAACUUUACAUUAACAUCAUUUCCAUACUUUUUCAAUAAUAUCAAACUUAAAAAUAUACUAAAAUCUUGAUGUACUUACCUUGUCAUAUUGAUUUCAAUCUUUAACUUGAUUUUCUCUCUCCUCCAGCUUCUAUUUCUUGAAUCUAACUUGAUAUUAUAGCUCCCCAUAGUCUCCUUGUAAUCUUUCUCUCUUGAUGGAUAUGGAAAUUCUUUUGAUUUCUAGAUGAAAAUAGUGAAUUUUUGGUGGAAGGACUAAAUUGUAAAGAAAGCAAAACUUUCUUUCUUUUCUCCUCUUAACGUGAAUUGCAUGGAAAAGAUGGUAGGUUGGUUCCUUUUCAUCUUUCUUUCCACAUAUAUAUACUAAAUAAUAAAAUAAUAAAAUAUCAUUUAAAAAUCAAAUUAAAAUACUAAUAAACUAAUAUUUAUUUAUUUAUUUAAUCUAAAAUAUCUCCAACAUCAUCAUUAUCUUCUAGAUUUCUCUCUCUUCUAAUUGACCAUUUUGCCCUUCAUGAUAUUUUAAAAUUCCAUCCUUGAGUCAUCACUUAAUUUCGUAAAAUUGCAAUUUAGUCCCUCAAAAUUCUUCACCUUUUUUCAAUUUAGUCCUAAUACAUCCAUUUUCCUUAGUUUCUAUAUCAUCCCACCCUUAAAGUAUUUACACCAUUGGUCCUUCAACUUUUUCAUAUUUACACUUUAACCCCUCAAUUUUUGAGUAUUUACUCUUGGGCAACAAAAUUUUUACGAUUUAAUCAUUUCUUGAGGUAAUAUGUCAUAAUAUACUUCCCAAUGUUGACAUAACUCCAAAAUUUCCCUUUUUGUCGCUUUAUUUCCUUAUUUUUUUAUAUCAAAGAUAAUAUCUUAGUGUAAAAAAAAAUUUUUUGGGUAUUACAGGAACAGAGUGGUGUGUAGAGGCUGGAUUGGGUAGGAUUUCUAACUGCAUAUCUACACUAAUUAAUGAUUUUGUAUUGUUACUACAUCGAUUAAUGAUAUUACAUACUGUUUACUGCAUGACUGAUAUUUGUUGCUGUUAUGGGCCAAGGCCCCACUGAUACUAUUACUGAAAUUGGGCAAAUGCCCUAUUGAUUAUUGGUAUUGUGAUGGGCUCAAGCCCAAUCGUUUAAUGUUACGGGAAAGGGCUUAGGCCCACACUGAACUGGACUGUUACUAUAACAGGCUCAGGCCCAAACUGUAUUUAUCUAUUGUUUAAUUGACUACUUACUUGUUAGGGGAUUGCACACUGAGUUUUCGUAAACUCAACCCGUUGUUUAACUGUACAGGUAAUCCCUAGUUGUAGUAGGGUCAGUGCUGCGAGGGACUCGAUGAUGGCCACACAACUGCAUCAGCUUUUGUUUUUAGCCUUUGAUUUAUAAGAAACUGAAUUUGGGUAUUUUUAUGUAAAAAGGCCUCUUUAAAGUUAUAAACUUUAAAUUGGGGUUUUUAUUUAUUUAGUUUGAUAUAAACUACUAGUUGUAGAAAAAGACGGGUUUUCAAAAGGUAAAUGUUUUCAAAGUUUCAAAAGGUAAAUGUUUUCAAAGACACCACGUUUUCGCAACAUUUCUAAAAAAAAACUUCCGCAAUGAAUGAGAUUUUGGAAAAUUUAUAACGUUUUAAAAGUGAUUAGCUUUUAAUGAUGCAUGCUUGGAAAUGAACAACCCGUUUUGGAAUCAUAGUUUAACAGCAAAAUGAUUAAUUGAUUUUAAAGAUUUCAACGACAACAAGUUUUACGCUAAACACCUUAAAGUGACACCGCCAGAUUCAACCAUAACUCCUAGGCCGGGUUUGGGGUGUUACAAUGUGUUUCAACCCUAUUAUUAGAAACUGAUACCCUAUUAUUAGAAACUGAUAAUGGAAACACAACUUUUAAUUAGAAACCUCUAAUUUUAAAAUUCAAUAGGUAAAAGCAAGUUAUCGUUAAGUGCCUGUGAUACGCUAGUAAAACUCAUUCUAGAAAAAAAAGUUUAAUGGAAACAAUUGUUAUCCAUUGCGUAUAGAGGAUGAAUUUGAAUACUAUUAAUUAAGUUCAUUGUUUAUUGUUUAAAUGUCUAAAGUAAGGGAGACAUUAAAAGAACUCUACCUUUAUAAACAUAAGAAGUGGUGCCACUUCAACAAGUAAAGGUAGGGUCUCUCUUGUAAAUGUUUAUUAUGAACAAGAUAAGCACAUGAUCAUUUUAGUGCUAAAAGUGAACAACCUCUGAUAGAAAUAUAAACGAAUAUUAUGUAUAGUGUAUUUCAACUUCUAAUACUAGGAGUUGUGGUUCAAUCUUCGGACACCGACAACUUAUUAAAACUUUGAAAAGCAUCCGCUUAUUGAUGGUUCAUAUUGAGAGGUAUCAUCUUUAAUGCAUAAUAUUUGUUUGAGUGAAUGACCAUAAAGUAUGGUACCAACAUUUAAACUAAGGGUGAUUGUUAGUAGUUUAUAAUUUUGGCAGUAAAAAUAUUUUAUUAUGUAGAAAAGUCUAAUAAAUUAUAAUUAUUGGUCAAAUAGUUGUGUUGUAAAGACAAUUUUUGUAUGUAAAGUUGUCUUAUAAACUUUAUGUAAAGUUGUGUUGUAAAACAACAAAAUUAUAUGAAAAUGUAUCUUAUUAAAAGAUACAUCCAUAUGAAAGGGUAUCUCAUGAAAAGAUACACCUAUUAGAUGUCUAUAUAAAAGAUUUUUCUGUUAGUUAUUUAAAUUGUUUUGCUUGGAGUGUUGAGGGCUUUGUUGUAUCUUGAAGGUAUUUUAAAAUCUUAAAGAAAGUGCUCUACACACCUUAAAGUCAUUAUAUUUUAUAACAUUAUUUUAUUUUUCUAACUUUUAUUUUCCUAUUAUUUAUUUUUCUAACAGCUAGAAUAUAGGAAAAUUAUUAUGUUUCUAGCUAUAUAUUGAAUACAAGUAUGUUGGUGUUUAGAACUCGAACUUUGAUGGUUGAUCGAGAGAUUUGAAGCAGAAAGAAGAGACGGGAAGUUUUAAGUAGAAAAAUAAUUGAAGACUGGAAUAUAUAAUUGAUUUGCACCUCAACUAUUUAAAUACAAAAGUUCAAGCUAAAAAUAGAAAAAAAAAGUUCUAAAAAUCUGCUAAAAAUCUGGUAACAAAAUAGCAAACAAAUCAAAAAUCUAAUCUCCUAAAGUCAAGGAGAAUUAUUCAAACUUAGUAACAGAAAAAAUUUAAAUGGCAGCAAUCUUAAACACAUGAUCUUAACACUCCUCCUUGUUUAGAUGCUACAAACUCCAAGUUUCUUCCUGAAGCUUUCAAACUUGCUAAGUGGCAAUGGUUUGGUGAAGAUAUCUGCAAUUUGAUCUUCAGAUUUGUAGUAACAAAGAGACACAUCACCACUCUUUUAAACUUCUCGAACAAAAAAUAACUUGAUGUUAAAAUGCUUAGUCUUCCCAUGAAAGACUGGAUUGUUAGAGAUUGCAAUGGCAGCCUGGUUAUCAACUAGAAUCUUUGUGCUUUGCUUCUACUCCAUGUUUAGAUCAACAAGAAUCUUCCUUAACCAGAGAGCUUGGUUAACUGUUGCUGUUGCAGCCAUAAAUUCUGCCUCAACAGUGGAUUGAGCUACAGUUUCUUGCUUCUUCGAGCUCCAAGAGAACAUGCCUGAUCCAAGGCAAAAACAAUAACCAGAGGUACUCUUCAUAUCAUCAGUUAAGCCACCCCAAUCACUGUUAGAGAAACCAAUCAACUUCAAUUCCCUAUGCUUUAAAAACUUUACUCCAUAAUUCCAGGUCCCCUUGAUGUAUCUGAUAACUCUUUUUGCAGCUCUCAUGUGAGUCUCAUUGGGACAAUGCAUGAAUCUGGAGAGAAUACUUACAGCAUUCAAGAUGUCGAGUCUGGUUGUUGUUAAGUACAUUAGACAACCUACCAAACUCCUGAACUCAGCUUCAAUGACUUUGGCAGAACCAUCAUCUUUGAUUAGCUUCUCUUUUUGAUUCAUAGGAGUACUCAUUGCUUUGCAAUCUUCCAUAUGGAAUUUUCUAAGUAUCUCCUUUGCAUACUUUCUUUGACAGAUGAACACUUCAUCUUGGCUUUAUUUGAUCUCAAUGCCAAGGAAAUAAGACAUCAGAUCAAGGUCUGUCAUUUCGAAGACAUUAUGCAUUUCCAAUUUAAACUGAUUAACUUGAUCGAUAUUGCUCCUUGUAAUCAAUAAGUACAAAUAAGCAAGCUUUUUCCUUUGAUUUCCUUAUCUUCUUUUCUUUUUGUGCUUUAAUCUGUGCCACAGUAGGAUUUGCUGGAAGAGGUGGGACCUCGUAAUCCUCUUCUACAGGUUCCCAAAGAUCCAAAGCCUCUAUGUAAGUCUCCAUGCGAACUGCCUACAUCUGGUAAUUGUCUCCAUCGAAGACUGGUGGUGCAGCAACUGAAAAACUGGACCCUCCUUCCAUAUUAACACGCAAAUAACCUAACAAAUCCCUCAAGAAAAUAGCUCUGAUACCAAUUUGUUGGUGUUUAGAACUCGAACUUUGAUGGUUGAUCGAGAGAUUUGAAGCAGAAAGAAGAGACGGGAAGUUUUAAGUAGAAAAAUAAUUGAAGACUGGAAUAUAUAAUUGAUUUGCACCUCAACUAUUUAAAUACAAAAGUUCAAGCUAAAAAUAGAAAAAAAAUGUUUUAAAAAUCUGCUAAAAAUCUGGUAACAAAAUAGCAAACAAAUAAAAAAUCUAAUCUCCUAAAAUCAAGAAGAAUUAUUCAAACUUAGUAACAGAAAAAAUUUAAAUGGCAGCAAUCUUAAACCCAUGAUCUUAACAAAGUACUACUUGGAAGCCAACACCCACAAACAUGAUAAAAGUUAAUUUUGAUGAGAGUUUUGACAUGGAAGCAAGAAAUGAGGAAGAGGGUAGUUAUGCAGCAUUGUGAUGAUUUUUUAGUCUGACUAUGCAACCAUCCAAUUUAGGGUGCAUUCUCCAUUGUGGUGAAAAAGCACUUAAAGAACAUUUGGUUUUUGCACUUAAAAUGUGAUGGAAAAAUGUUUUUCCACCCAAAUACAAAAACUAGGAUAUAAAUGUUUUUGACUUUUAGCUUUUAUGUUUGGAAGUGAAAAUUAUCAAAAUAUCAUUAUUUAUAUUAACUAUUUAAAUGGUAUAUAAAAAUUAGAUUAAUUUAUAUUUUAUAUAUCAUUAUAUUAAAUUAUUUAAAUAUUAUUUAUUAUUAUAUAUUUUAAUAAUUUAUAUAUCAUCUAUUUUACAAAUAAUUUAUAUUAAUUACUUAAAAAAUAUUUGGAACUUAUAUUUCAUGUAUCAUUAUAUUAAAUUAUUUAAAUAUCACAUAAUUUAACUAAUUUUUUACUUUCCACUAUCAUGUCUAAAGAAAAGGAUAUUUUAACUUUUAACAAGAAUUUUUUGUAGCAAUGGAGAACACCAAAAAUUAAUAAACACACUUUUUCAUAGUAAUUUUCAACCACACUUUUCAACCGCAACCCUAAUGAAGAAUUAAUCCUUACUAAAGUUACCGAAGCACUAGCUUCCACCGUAGCCAUUGAAAUGGCGCUCCAAUUGGGAUUGCAACACAUUAUUAUUAAAGGAGAUGCUCUCCAAGUGGUUUCGGAGUUGAAGGAAGACAAAGGAGACCUACCAACAACCGGACCUUGAUAGCAAAGAGUUGAAUACUUGCUAAACAGGUUCAGCAAUGUAGGUUUCAACACAGGAAGAGGCAUGCUAAUGAGGUGGCACAUCAUCUGACCAAACAGGGCCUUAAUUGUUUUCCAUCUUUUGUUCAUAUGUUUGUUUUGAAAAGGUAAAACAAAUCCUCACCUAUUGAUGUUAGAACGGUUGAAUUGCUAAAAGCAUGCUGCAUGCAUAACCAUGCUUUAGGUUAGGCUUCAAAUUAAAUAAAUUUUAAAUUAUUUUUAUUUAAAUUUAAUUAUAAAAAUAAAUUAAUAUCAAUAGAAAAUUAUAUAAAAUUUUAAGAUAUUUUAUUUUUCAAUAAUAAAACGAAUCAUUCACCAAACCUAAUUCUUCAAUUUCUUUUUAAUUAGAUCACAACUCAAGCCAAGCUAACCAAUAAACACCCAAAAUCUACCAUCAUUUUCAUUUUCAUUUUUUUUUCUUUUGUGACAAAGUAGACAGAAGAUUCGGUUUGGAUAAGCUCUACGUUAUUAAGUCAAAAGCUGAAGUAAUUUUAAUCAUAAAUUGUUUUAUUUGUCUAUAAUGCAAAACAAUGACCCAGUUAGUACAAUAAAGCUUUAACUUUGUGGAACAUUUCAGUCCAAAAAAAAAAAAAAAAAGAAUUGUGGAAAUUUUAGAGCAGUUGACCAUUUCUUCGGAAUUAGUUUUCUCACUUCUUGUCCAUAUUCCAUGUAUAUUAUUUCAAGAAAUUAGGUUUAGAAAUUUGCAUAAUUCAACCAUUGAACUAAUAAAUAUUAAACAAAAAUUGGGUGGCAAAAAAAAUCUUAUUAAAAUCAUAUACUAUUACUAAAAUUUAUGAUUAAAUUAGUGUCACGAGUUAACGGGACAUUAACAAAUUAUAUUAUUUGAGGGUAUUUUAAUCUUUUUAUUAAAAAAGAUGAUGUCUCAAAUUAACUCACAAUCUAAUCUAAUUUUUCAUUUUAAUAUUGUAAAUAUUUCAUGUUUUAUUAUUAAUUUGUUUCAAAUUAUACAUUUCAUUAUUUAUUUUAUGUUAUUUUUAAACACAUCUGUAUUCUAAGUACCUAAUUUUCACUUAUGGGUAUCAGAGGCGAAUCUAGGGAGGCUGAUAGGGGUCUCGGUCCCCUUAAAAUAGAAAAUUAUUAUUUAAGCCAUUUAGAAAAUUUUAAAAUUUUAAAUUAGUAAAUGUAAAAUUACACUUUGACCCCUCUAAAAUUAUAAAAAUUUGAUUUAAUCCUUUAAAAAUUAUAAAGAUAUAAACUAUUAAAAAUAAAAAUUUCAUUUCGGCCCUGCCUAAAAAAUUUUUUUGACUUCACCCCUAAAGUAUGAUAGAGUUUCUAGUAUGAAUAAUUUUCUUUGGAAGUGUUAAACAAACAAAGGAGUUAAGUAAACAGUAGUUUUCAUACAGAAAUAUUCGGCGUUGAUGUUUCCCUUUCGAAUAAUUAAAUUAAGACUUAGGAAAAGGGAAAACAAUGAAAAAGAAACUAAAAUUGAGCUUAAUUUAUGGAGUUGGGUUAAAAUUUUAAUAUUUAAAUAUAAAAAUUCUAAUAAUUUGAUCUGGUCCGUUUCAUCUAGCAGACUAAUAAUAAAUCUUAAAACAUAUUAUAUUUUAAUUUAAAUAAAACCAAAACUAAUACACUUGACCUACAUCUACAUGUGAUCUAUGCUUCAUUUAAAUUAGUCUAAAUUAGACGAGAUCUUGAUUAGGAGUCAUUUAUUUAUAUUAUAAGUCCCUGAAACAUGCAAAACUUACAUUUAAAAAUUAAUAUUUUUACGUUGUUGUUAGAAUAUAGGGUUUGUUAAUGUUUUCGUGUGAAGUCAGCUGUUGACAUUACCAAUCAGAUAAUGAAAAGGAAACAUGGCAAUUAUUCCAUCCUAAUUGUCACCAAAUUAAGUUAAUCCAAAAAUUACCAAACGUUUAGUACUUCAAUGGUAGAGUCAGCUCUUUCUUCUAGUCUAUCAAAAAAAGUCAAUUUAACCCCUAACUCUUGGAUGGAAAAGUUUUUGCUAUGAACUUGUUGAAGUGAAUCUCAUGUGAUAUAAACGCAUCGCAAUCUCCGUGUGUAACUAAAAAUAUUUGAGAGAUUGAAUAAUUUAAAGGGGAAAAAAAAAGAAUUUACUCCCUCCACUAACAAAUUACUCUUGCCAACGUAUGUAUGAAAGUAAACACCUUUAAUUAAUCAACAAAUGCUAAAGUUCGAGGUUUAGAAUUAAUUAAAUACCAAUAUAAAUAGUUAAUUACUUUUUUGAAAUAAGGAUAAAUCAGUUUGUGAGGUUUGAAUUUUUUGUAUCUUAACAAUUGUUCUGACUUUAGAGUUUGAAGGUUUUUUUUUUAUCCAAAUUAACCUAUGAACUUAGUAAUUUGUCUCUCAUUAAGGUUUAAAUUUUUUAUUUAUCUAAGUUAAUUCUUAAAAAUCUUGAAAUUCGAGAAUAAUUGUCAAGUUAAAAAAAUUUAGAUUUCAAUAUGAGAAUAAUCUACUAGUUCGUAACCUUAAUAUAAAAACAAUUGUUAAGUUGAAAACUUAAUUUAAAAACAAAUUCAAACCCUUCUUAAGUUUACGAUUUAACCCUUUGAAAUAUUGCGUUAACUAGUAAGAGUAAGAAUUAUUUUGUGUUGAUGAUUAAAUAAAUAUUUAAGUGGAGAUCAAGUUUUACCUCAUUUGUCAAUUGUCAGGUGAAGAAUAUAUACCCCUAAAGGCCUAUCAAAAACGGACCUAUCUCUAUCUAUAUAUCUUAACUAAUUUACUAUUCAUUUUUAAUGAAAAUCAAUAAAUCAAUGAAAACGUUAUAAAAAGAAAACUACGUGAAUAAAUUAUAUGUGUAAAAUUGAAAUAUUUCUUAUUUUAGUACAAUGGUAAGGAACAUUACAUUUUUAAGGAAAUGAUGUCAGGUUCAAACCUUAAAGAUAAUAUUCUUCUUCUUGAGAAGAACAAUCCCAAACUCCAAAAUGAACCCUUAUGAAUUAUAUAAAAAAAUUUUGAAAUAUUUCUAUAAAAUAUCAUUAAAGUUUUUUAUUUAAAAAAUGUUAUGGGUAUACUUUUACCUCUUGUAAAAAAGUCUUUCAUUUCUCAAUUCUUAUGGCAUAGUAAAUUUAUCAUUAAUUUUCAUCUUUAGGUAAAAAAAAUGGUUAUUAUUUGUGUAUUAAAUAAUUGUUAGGAUAAAUUUUAAAAUUGUAUAUGAAUUUUGGUUUAAUGUUAAUUAUAUACAUUAAUUUUAAUUUUAUGUAAUUUUAUAAAUGAAAUUUUAAUUUGAUCCAAUUCUAACAAAUUAUUAACACAGUUAUUGAUAUAACAUCAUUUUAUGUUUAUAUGCUAUAUACAGAAAUAAUUAUGUUUAUUCAAUAUAAAAAUAAAUUGAUGUAUUUAUUUCUUUAAACAUAUAUGAUUGAAUCAAAAUUAAAACAUCGUGUAUAUAUUUGAACCACAAUUAAAAUUUUACAUAUAAAAUUACAUAAAAUUACAAUUUAUAUACGUAAUAAACUAAAAUUCAUAUAUAAUUUUAAGAUUUAUGUCCACAAUUCUCUAAAGCUAAACGGUGAUGAUUACCAUGGAAAUUCAAUGUACUUAACUAAUUGGUUGAUAGGAACAGGCAUGAUGAAAUCCAUGAUGGGAAGAGAGAGAAUUCAAAAACUGGAAUGCCCCCAUUAAUCCAUGCAAAUAAACUUUUUCGGUAUUACAUCAUAAUUCAUUUAAUUUUAUCAUCAUCUCUAUGCCAUAACCAUGUUUAAAGUAAAAUACUUAUAUAAAUUGAGACAUUAAUAGUUUGUAUUAUAUAAAUUAUGACAUCCAUAUAUCCAUAUUAUAAUUUUUAUGAAAAAUUAGAGCUGGCAGAUAAAAAAUGGCUUACUGAUCAAUGAAAAAUAAACUUUAUUUCUUGUAAAUUGACUUAUCCUUUUAAAAAGUAUAAAUAUUUUUUUAAAAUUCAUUUAUGAGUAAUUUUAUUAUUAUAAAAAUUAAUUUUGCAAAGUCUAAUAUUAUUAUAUUAAUAAUUUUAUUUUAAAACUAUUUAAAAAUACUAAUAUCAAAUAUUAUAAUGUUGAAUCCUAGUAACAUACAUAUUAAAUUAUUUAAAUUAUGUAAUAUUGCAAUUUUAUUUUAAUACUAAAUUUUAACAACAAUAAUUUUAAAUUUUAGAUCAUAUUUUUAAUAUAUUAUUGAAAAAUAUUUAUAUUAAUAUUUUAAUAAUAAAUAUAUAUAUUAAAAUUUAUAAAUAUUUAAUAAUAAAUGUUUUAUAGUAUAAAAUAUGAAUAUUUUAAUUAUAUAGAUAUGAGCAUUUGUUUAAAUCAUGUUUAGUUUCAUUUAUCUCCCAACUAUAAUGUGUUAUUAUACACCGUCAUAUAUAUAAUAUAUGUAAUUUAAGCAUUGUUUAUUAUUAAAUUUAUAUAUGAUAUUAAUUAUUAUAAAAUAUUAUCUUAUUAUAAAAGAAAUUCUAAUUAUCAAAAAGAAAUGUUACUUUAAUAUUUUGUAACAAGUAUAUUUAUGUUGGGCUUGUUUCAAUAAUAACUUUAAAAUGAUUUUAGAAAAAAAAUUGUCAAAUAAUAAAAAAAUAUUUUAAGCAAAAUAAUUCAAACACAAAAAACUAUCAACUUUUCCAUAAAAUCAAUCCAAUUUUAAGAAAACAUUUUGUGAAAAUUGUUUUAGGUAAAACAAAAGGAACCUAUAUUUUAUAUAGUAUUUGAAAAGUUGUUGUAUCUAGAAUUAUUAUCUUAAAUAUUUUUUUAGGUCUAAUUUUAAAUUUCAUCCCUUUAUGAAAAUUGAGAAGUUAAAUUUUCUAUUUUACUUUAUCAGUCUGUGCUUGAUUGUUUAUUAAUUUGUCGUGUAUAAAUGGUUAAAUUAUUGAUUUUUGUUAAUUACUAGCAUGUAAAUUGUCAAACUACUUGUUCUCAAGGGAACGGUAAAGUUUAAUAGUAUUAUCAAUUUAGAACAAUUUUUGAGUUUUUUCUUUUAUUUUUCAUGUUCGAGUCCAUAAUUACUCCUUCUAAUAAUGUCGUCUUUAAAGUUUGAGUUCGAAUUCAAAUUCUCUUUUUGGAAGUACAAUAUGCCUUAUAAUUAUACCUAAUACUUUUGAUUUUUGUAAAAUAUAAGAAUCAAAAUUGUGUAGUAGGAUUAAUUUCUAGAUUUUUUAAAUUUAAAAUUUAUAAUAUUAUCAAUCGCAUCACACACAAAACCAAAGAACAAGAGAAUCUAAAAAACACGUGGACCAUUAAUUUAGGAAUGGACAUUAUAUUUUAUUAGUGGAAUAAACUCAUGCAAAAUGGUUGGAAAACACAUACAGGAUUAUAUAUACUAAUCAUUUUUAUUAUUAAGCAGAAUCGGAAAUAAAUAAAUACGAGCGAAACCACUGAAUAAUACAGCAUUGAAAUGCAAUUUGUCUACAUCAUUAUUGUUCUUCACUUCAAACGCGGAGACUAGUCUAGGCUCCCAAUCUUUUGCUUUAUCUCUCUAGAUAUAUCCUUUUCAAACUAUCUUUUUGUAGCUUUAUUUGCAUCACAGCAUUAUCUUUUCCUGCAAACAACUGUUCAAUGAUUAAAACAUGCAAAACAUUCUGAAAUAAUGCACCCUUACCAGAUGACAAAAAAAAAAAAAGAUUCUAAUGUAUCUUACCUUGGAUUGGAGCACGGUCAAAGCCGUGGCUUAGUAGUGGUGAGGAGGAGGGGGUGAAGCGUAGACAUAAUGGGGUGGUGGUGGUGGAGGAGACUUGUAUUUGUAAACUGGAGGAGGAGGUGGUGGAGACUUGUACUUGUAAGGGUGCUUGGGGGGUGAUGGUGGGGGUGGUGGGGGUGACUUGUACUUGUAGGGGUGCUUGGGUGGUGACGGUGGGGGUGGGGACUUGUACUUGUAAGGAUGCUUGGGGGGUGAUGGUGGUGGUGGUGGAGGUGACUUGUACUUGUAGGGGUGCUUGGGUGGUGACGGUGGGGGUGGGGACUUGUACUUGUAAGGGUGCUUGGGUGGUGACGGUGGUGGUGGUGGGGGGGACUUGUACUUGUAGGGAUGCUUUGGUGGGGAUGGUGGUGGUGGUGGUGGGGACUUGUACUUGUAGGGAUGCUUAGGUGGUGAUGGUGGUGGUGGUGGAGACUUGUAUUUGUAAGGAUGCUUUGGUGGUGAUGGUGGUGGAGGUGGUGGGGACUUGUACUUGUAAGGGUGCUUGGGUGGUGAUGGAGGUGGAGGUGGUGGAGACUUAUACUUGUAAACUGGAGGUGGUGGGGGUGGAGACUUGUACUUGUAAGGGUGCUUGGGUGGUGACGGAGGUGGAGGUGGUGGAGACUUAUACUUGUAAACUGGAGGUGGUGGGGGUGGAGACUUGUACUUGUAAGGGUGCUUGGGUGGUGAUGGUGGGGGUGGGGGUGGCGACUUGUACUUGUAGGGGUGUUUAGGUGGUGAUGGUGGUGGUGGUGGUGGUGGUGGGGACUUGUACUUGUAAGGAUGCUUGGGUGGUGAUGGUGGUGGAGGAGACUUGUACUUGUAAGGAUGCUUGGGUGGUGAUGGUGGUGGAGGUGGUGGAGACUUAUACUUGUAAACAGGAGUUGGUGGGGGAGGAGAUUUGUACUUGUAAGGUUUCUUGUGUGGUGGUGGUGGUGGAGGAGAGUAGAUCGGAGGAGGCGGUGGGGGAGACUUGUAAUGGUAGGGUGGUAGUGGGUUCUUCUUAGGAGGUGGUGGAGGAGAAGAAUAGGUGUAAUCUGCUGAGGUUUCAAAAGGCAAACUGAGAGAAAC